rnacentral:lncRNA from 1 species
UCUUUCAUUUCUUCUCUCUACACACCCCUCUUUCACUCUUCAGUUUAACUUUGUCCUUUCGCUCACAGGGACAGCCCAGACUCGUCAUCCUCCUCGAGGGUGGCAGUGUAGGUAAAGUAGAGAGCCCAGAUCAAACCAAACACACCGAAAAGUAUCCACCCAAGAAGGUUAUUGCUCAACCCAAAGGGCAGCCCUGUCCCCUCCGUGCUCAGUCUCUCAUCCACCAGUGCCAUUGCUGGCCCUGCCGACGCUGCCACCGCAGCAGCAGCUGCCAUCAACGACGCCCCCAUGCUGAUGCUUGACCCCAUGUCGCUUCCACAGGGCUUCUCCUCAGACAUGCACCGCACUCGUCCCUUCUUCGCCAUGGCUGGCAGGCCUACAACCCAGAAAAGAAAAUGUCCAUGUAAGAUGGAUGGAUCAAGCGAAACAAGAAGAGAAUUUCAUUCAAAAACCUUACCAAGGACGGGUGAUGAAAUCCCAUUCAAUCCUUUACUCGCUACACUGGCACGCACAAGCGAUGUAGCUGGGUUGCUGGCUGUAAUGGUGGCCAUUUUUCUGCAGUCUGAGAAAUAUGGAUCAAGUAUGCAAGAGUAGGAGUUAGGAGAAGAUUUAUCACAUCAAAUGGGUGGGGGAAUUGGAGAAUUAAUAUCAUCGGCAUACAGUUUGGUGCACCACAGAAUGUGGAUAGAUAGAUGGACAGACAUUUCAUAUCCUAAAUCUUCAGGUGACCAAUCGGUGCCCGCCAUGUGUGUCUUUACAUAGCUUGUGGGUUACCAAAACAUAUGUUCUGUUUGGACACAAGAGACCUGGUUUCAACAAAUAUGGCCUGCCUUGGGCCACUCUAGUAAUAAUUAACAAAUGGCCUUAGGGAAGCCCAAAGGAAUGAGCCCUCUCUCUCUCUCCCCUCUCAAGCCCUAUGGCCCAUGUCAAUGAGGAAAUAGUUUAUAUGUGUCAGUAGAUGGGCUAACUAGACCAAUAUUUUUAUUAUUUACUGUAGGAUACUAUAUAAAAUAGUAGUAAUUUUAAUAUAAAAUUUAAGGCUUACAUUGAAAAUUUAAUGAUUUAUAUUAGAAAAUUGAGGUAUCAAAAAUCUUUAAUUGUCUUAAAUUUAAAAUUUUAAAAAUAAUUUUUAAAGACAUAAGAUAAAUAUAUAUUUAAAGAAAAUUCACUUUUAUAAUAAAUUUCUAUUUUAAAAAAAUACAUAAAAUAUAUUCAAACUAGGAGAAUGUUUAGUAAACCAACUUAAUAACUUAAUUUAAGUUAUUAAACAAAUUAAGUAUAUUUGGUAAAAUAACUUAAUGACAUGCCUCAAAGUCAAAAACAACUUUAAUUAAUAAGUAAAAAUAAUUAACUUAUUCUUAAAUUCACAUCUUCAUUUUCUUUUUUUACUACAAUUUGCAUUAAGUACAUCCACGAUCUCUUUCACUACUACACGACUUUCAUUAUUACUUGACCUCCUUUAUUCUAGUUAUAAUUUAUAAUAAUAAAUAUGUUAAUUUGAUGAUUUAGAAUAAAUUUUAAAUUAAUUUUAUCAAAAAACCUUAAUACUUAAAAUAAAAAUUAAAUAACAAGUUUUAAGUUAAUAACUUAACUAUGAUUUAACUUAAAAUCAACUUAAGUCAUUAUGUAAUAAGUAUUAAAUUUUAUCAAACACCCCAUAAAACUUAAUUAUCUUGGUUUGUUUUGAUUCCAUUGUGUGAUAUUUAGUUCAAAUUAGUCAAUUAUGGUCACAUGGUAGUUAAGGAAAGUACAAAGGAAACUUAAAAAACAAAUUCAAAGCUCCUAGAUGCCUAAAGUACGUAGUAUAAGAAAAUCAGCAAAAUCACUCAAAAUAAUAGGUUUGCAAUGUCAAAGAAUUCAGUAGAAAAGGUGGGAACUGAACUACAUUUAUAGUGCAAGAAGGAGCCCACAUAGCUGACCAAGGAGUUAGGACUUCUAACAGAUAGUGAAGAAAAGCUAAGCAUGGAAAUGGUACAUAAUUAAAAGUAAGGUCAGUACUAAUUGACAUAUUUGGGUUUUUGAAUAACAGCACCAUGCCAGGCUGAGUGGCUACCUUGCCAACCCAACUCCAAGGGCAUGCCAUCUUUUUCCAAAGCUGGCAUCCAGGCGGAAGAGCAACAUUCACACCUUCUACAGCCCACUUUUAUUACUCUGAAGCCCCACUCCCAGAAAGACCGAAAGCAAAUAUGAGAAACCCCAUGAUGCAUGCUAGAGAAAGGUCAAUGCAUCUGGCUAAUAUUACAACAAUCAUCAUGUGAAUGCAUCUGUCUGUAGGGGAAUUUAAACCGACGGCUUCAACUUCUUGUAUAUGCUAAAAUUUUGCUUCACACUCAUGAAUGACCAUCUAUGAUUAUCUCAUAUCCGAUUGAGAAGCAAAUGGGUUGCUUUGAAUGGUAUUGGAGCUGAUGUAGAUACGUUUUAAAGUUGUGAUGACUCAUUAGACCUAAAGCAAACAAUAUCUAAAUAGAAAAGAGUGAGUUAUCUAAAUGAUAUUAGAUAUGAUCCUUAAUUCCGAUGUGGGAGUGUGUUUAAUCCAUUAAGGGAUGUUUGCCUUUUUGAUCCUUUAAUCUCACGGGAUACAACAAGAAUGUAAUAUCAUAAAGGGGUGAUUGUAAUUUCUCAUAUUAAAUUAAAGAUAUAUACACUCCUUUUAAUCAUAUAAACGUAUUUUAAAAACGUAAAAACUGAUUAAAUUCAAAAUAAAUAAUAUCUACAUAAAAGGGAAUAGAUCGUUACAUCAUCCCUCUUACAUAUGUAUAUAUAACUUGUCAAGUUGAACUUAUUUGGAUAAAAGGGAAUUAUCCCAUAUAUAUUAAGUCGGUCUUUUAAUGAACCAAACACAACAAUCCAAAUCUAACUUGGUUAGUCCAAGGAAUCAGUUAGUGAUGGGGUCAUGAUCUUGUUAGUUAGCUUGUUCAAGUCAUAAAAUAGAACAAAACGAAGCCCACAAUGCUUCAAGCUCCACCUACUUAAUAUGGAUUGAUUGAGCUCAUCAUCAACUGUUGAGUUAGGCAUCACAAGGUUGUUGAUUAUAGACCCUAUCCAAUUCUAUAACUUAGCAAAAAGAAAACUCCAAUUACAGAGGUUUUUGAAGAUACGUGCUGUAUUUGCCAAUAUCCAUUGAUAAAGAUGGGAGCCAUGGAUUUAUUUGUACACAAAUCAAAAUGAGGCUAAUGAAAGGGACCACUUAGUUAUUGAGCUCCGCCCACAACCAACUUUGAGAAGGUUGCAUACUCAAAUCCAUCACUAAGCCCAACCUCUAUGCUACUAUUCGGCUUUGCGAGGUUGGUUAGAACUUAGAACUCAUAGUAAGAAUAAGAAUAGGAAUAUCUAAGUAUGUUUGGGAACAUUAUUACAUACCAGGGGAAGCUUAAUCAAGUUAUGUUUCCUUAACCUUAACUUGUCUCAAUCUAUUUUUACUUCAAGUUAUGAAUUUCUGUUCCAACUCUUAGCGGGUGUUUGUUUUUUUUUAUUUUUUGUUAAAAAUAAUUUGUUUUUAGAUUUUAGAUUGUUUGUUUUUCUACUUUUUUUUAUGAUUUAUUAUAAACAUUUUGUUAAACAGAAAAAAUUGAAAUAUUUGGCUUUUUAUAAAUGGAAAAAGCAAUAUAUUGAAUUUUAUUUACUUUUUAAUGCUUAAUGAAAAUAAAAUAUUAUAAAACAAAUAACUUAAUAUUUAAUACUAUUAAGCAUUAAAGUUCUAUUUAGAGUUAAGUAAAAAAACAAACAUCAUCUUAGCUCACACUCUGUGAUAAGACUAAUAACCAUAGUUAAAAGCGUUUCCUAUUACUUAAAAUAAUAUUUUUAAAAAUCGGUCGAAGCGUUCUUGAACUCAUAUUUAAUAGAUGUUUCUUUUUAAAAAUCGUCAUAUAGCCUUUAAUUUCAAAUAAAAAAUUCUAUAAUAAAAAAUUCAUUUGUGAUUCUCAAAAUUAUAGUUAAAGUUUACUUUUCCAAAAAAAACCAUUUAUGACAAAAAUGUUAUUCAUAAAAAGUAUUAUAACUAGAAGUGAUUUUAUCAUAUUAGACAAAGCUUGUUGAAAUAAUAUCAAUUAUUGUGGGGAUGACUUAUUAUUACCAAGAAUUUGUCCAAAUAAUCAUUUUUGGUAUUAUUAAAUUUAAAAUAAAAUGAUGACGCAUCAUUCAAAUGUUGCAAAAAUGGAGUUAUGCUACAAUAUCCCUUAUUUUAGUUUUUCAAAUAGGCUUUUUAUAGGAUAACAUAUCAAGCAUGACUAAUUUUUUUUUUUUUUACUUUUGUUGGUAUGUAUCUUUUUUUAAAAAUAUAAUAUAAAAAUAAAAUAAAAUAAAAUAAAAUAAAAAGGGGAAAAAAAGAGGGGGGAAUUUGGGUGGGGGUGGGGGGUGGGGUUAUACAUGUCGUCUACUUGCCCGUCUACCCACCAGCGUACUUGAGUGUAUCGGACAGGAAGGGAAGUGAGAAGCGUUUUUCACAUUACACGCGUACGAGAGACUCUGCUUUGUGUGUUUUUUGGCCGUGCCUUCCUUCAUGGACUUUCGUUGAAACUGUCUCUUGUAUAAAAGCCUCACCCUCAAGCCUCAAGCCUAUCGCCUCACGCCUCACGCCUCAUCAGCUCAUCACCCACUUCAGUCCGUUCUAUUCUGUUUUUCUCGAAUUCCUACAAUCCCCACUCACUUUUCUACCAAAUUACCCUAACCCAUCUCCAAAUUUCACCUCUGAAUCUAUUAUUUUUCUUCCAAUCAACCCCAAGAUCCUGUCUCUCUCCCCACGUCCCCAUAAUGCCACAACCUCUCUAAAAUUUCCUCGUUGUUUCUUGCUGCUUUUCUUGGUGAUUCUCUGCGUUGAAUCAGUGCACGAGAGAUGACGAGUCAGGUGGUGAAGGUACGGCGGGAGACAAUAGCAGCAUGCAUGACAUGCCCUCUUUGUAAUAAGCUUUUGAAGGAAGCUACGACAAUAUCUCUAUGUCUUCAUACGUGUAAGUCUUACUGUUAUGUUUCUCUUUUUUGGCUGAUUCUGAUCUGGGCUCUUGUUAUUUUGCAUUUUAGCAGCUGGGUUUCCUUUACUUUGUGCUUCUAUGAUACCGAUUUUCAUGUAUUUUCUUUAUGUAAUUUCACAAUUCAUACGUGUAAGCUUCACUAUUGUCUCUCUCUUUUGGCCGAUUCUGAUCUGGCCUUUUGUUCUCUUGCAUUUUAUUAACUGGGCUUCUUUUACUUUGUGUUUCCGUGGUAUGGAUUUAAUGUCUUUUAUGCAAUUUCAGAAUUCAUACGUGUUCGUUUCUCAAUCUCCCUUUUCUUUAUUAUGUUGUUUUUGAUCUGGGUUUGUUCUUAGCUUCCAUUAUAUGAACUGGGUUCCUUCUGCUUUGUGUUUUCAUGAUCUGGGUUCUCAUGUACUAUUCCAUAUCAGAAUCUUGGUUUUAUGAACUGGGUUUAGAUUUGUGAAUUACAUAGAAGAAAAGAGAGAAAUGCUGUGUGUUUAUGAUGUUGAUGUGAUUAUCCUUUCUUUCUUUUUAUUUGUUAAUUUAGGAAAUAAGGAACAAUAAAAGCUGUAUUUUUUAGGCCUUAGGGGGUCCAAUUAAUGUACCUGGGUUUCUCUCUGAGAAAAUAUUUAAUCAGUCAUUAUGGACGUGAAAAUACGGAUCUGAAAACUCAAAUUGAAAUGAUAAUCAAAUAUCAUCUGUUGAAGCACUGGUUGUCUGAACUUCUUAAGGUCAAAAACUGGUGACACUAGUAUAGCUCUCUGAACUCUUAAUUGCCUCUUCAGGAAAGCUCUUUCCUUUCCAUUGGUUAACAUUGCUAGUGACCAUGUGGUAUAAAUUGUCCUUCUCUUAUUCAAAUUUAUGUCAUCUUUUUUCUUCUUUCAAUUGAUAAACCCUUCCUCUCCAAAGCUUUUAAUUCAUAUGUUUUGGAAAGGAAUCGAAGCUUUCUUUAUGGCCUUGAAGAAUCUGAAGUUCUGCAAAAUUCUAGUUUAAUUUGAUUAUUUCUGGACUUUACUGAAAAUUGUGUAGGUUUAUAUCAUCUAGUUAGUUCAGUUCAGUACUUCCUAUGGUUCAUUCUUCCAUAAUAAGGUUCCUGUUCAAUUUUUUGAUCAUUUUUUUUUCAAUGUGUGUUAAUUUUAGUUCUUCUCUCUCUUGUUCCUGUCACCAUUGAGAAAUCUGAGUUAUGCCAUAACCAUGACAACCCUGAGUUGAUUUUAAUAUUGCCUUAUUUUUCAUUCUGUAUGAUUUUGGUUUAAUUCAUUUGAUUCUGUGAUUUUUGUAAUUCAAUCUCAUACUGAUCUUGAUGUGCUUUUUUCCUUCUGAUCCUUUUGAUGAUGUGCAUGGCUGUCAAUCAACUUGUUCUCUUUAUUUUUUUGCGGACAAGGGUCGUUUUUAUAGUUACACAAUCUAUUUUGGUGGUUUUCAGUUGGCCAUCAUGACUAAGCUCUUUUCUUUAUGAGCCUUUUUAUUUUCUUGGGAUCCCAUCUAGAAGCUAAAUUAACCUACUACUGUAGAUUGUUCUCUCCUUCUUUCUUUUGUUUUUUAUUUUUAUUUUUGAUUGGCAAAUUAAGAGAAAGAAUAUAGUUAGUCUCCUAAAAGGAAUGGGGACCAACCAAGAUACAUAGGGGGUAAACAAGGCUUGCAAAGGCCAGUUUAACAUUUUGAAUUAUUCCAUCCAUCUGAUAACUCAUUUAAGAAUUUGUCUCAAUUUUUCAGUUGCAGCAUGCUACAGGUUUGACCACCAACAUUAGUAAUAUUGGAAGGAUGUUAUUUUUUUGUUAAUUAUGGUUCAUUAACGUCAGACUAAGUAGUAGCUGUAAUUGAAUUUCAUUAGGUGUUAGCCGUCUCUCUAUAUGGAGUUGAUACAUUCUAAUCUAUAUAUAUUUAUUACAGCUUACUUGUUCCAGUGGAAUUCAUUUCCUUAGCAGCAAGCUGCUGUCAUAGAAACCACCUUUGGUCUAGGCUGUUGGCAACUCCUACUUGUUUUCACAUCAGAUCUUUUCCAUAUCUCACAAUUCUCUAUGUUAGUAGUUACAAAAAUGGGAGGAAGUUGUUUCAUAGCAUAUAUCCUGCAUGAGAGAAGCAUAUGCAUCACUAUUGUCAUUAGCUGUACUUAUUGGAAGCCGCUGUUAUAUAUUAUGUUUUCUUCUGGAUGCCAUUGAUAUCAAUUGCAAUAAAUAACUUAAUAAAAAAAAUGGAACCUUAAGAAUAAAUUUGUUGAUUUGGUAGCAACUUUGUAUUAUUUCCCUAUAACUUUCCUUGUUAGCUGGCUUUCCAAUUUGAUAGAAACAUUUUUUAUGAUACAUUAAUUUUCAUUUCGGAGGAAUGUCCUUUUCUUUUCCUUUUUAAUUAAUAUCUGAUAUUACCCUAGAAGGCAUAGGGCAAAUCCAAUGGAUAGAUACACAGAGGAAACAAAGUUCACCUGGAAAAUUUAUGGAUAUCUGGUCUAUGCUUCGAGUAAUUGAGAUGCUGAAGCAUGCAUGAAUGUUCUGUUUUUUGAUGCAAGAUAUUGGCAGAGAUACAUUUGUCAAAUGUGCCCAAUUUCAUAAUUUCCUUUAUGCCUCCCAAUUUUGAGUUGCUAAGGAAGUUUAAUGUUUCUUCACAUUUUGAAAUCCUAAUUAUCAUAGCUUGGAUGGAAUCCUAUUGUGAUUGCAAUUUUUCCUUUUUCUUUUCUUUUUUCUUGUAGGCACUGUUAGAGUGUAAUUUAUGUUUCCUUUUUCAUCAAUAACUAUAAUGGUCCUGUAUGAAAUGCUACUUAGAGAACCAAGAGAAAAAUUUUCAGAUCUCUUGUCAUCUCCUUUGUUCUUGUACCAUCACUAUGUUUCUUGCAUUUGGUGAUGAAUUAAGAACAUGGAGUGCUGCCUUUUUUUUUUUUUGGGGGGGGGGGGGGGGGGGGGUUGCAUUAAUUAUACAUUGCUAGCAGUGAAGGGCAUAAAGUUACGAGUCCUUUAUCUCCUGAAAGUGUUAUUGACUUGUUCAAUAUGUAGUUUUUUAUGCAUUGAAUUUUCAACUCCAAACCAGUUUGCAGGAAAUGCAUAUAUGAGAAGCUCUCAGAUGAAGAGGUAGAUUGCUGUCCUGUAUGCAAUAUUGAUUUGGGCUGUGUUCCUGUGGAUAAACUCAGGUCAGUCCUGUCUGAACAGUAACUAGGCUUCACUCUCUCCUUCUCCUUGUCCCUCUGGUUUAGAAAUUCAAGGAGAUACACAUGCACAUUCACAAAUGUGUUUUAAGACAAUGGAUAUGAAUGCAUGCACGUAGUCCUCAGUGGCAAGGAUCUACCAUAUACAUGCUGUACUUUCAAAUUUGCUUUAGUAAUAUGAAUGUUUGGUUUUUGAUAAGGCAUGUAGAUCCUUAAAUCUUAUUGUUCAAUUUUAGGAAUUUAUAUCAAAACAUGUUAUUUUAUUAACCUAAUAAGUGGAAUUAGUUUUACUAUGCAAAGAUAAUGGUGGUAAUAGUGAUUGAACAUUGUUCUCAAGAUCUUUUAAUGGAUUUCAUAGUUCCCUACAAUCUCGAUUGGUUGUCCAAAAUACCUUAAAUGAACCCAAACCUGAAACCAAAUAUGAAGUAGAAUAAAGGCAGUGUCACUUUACAUCACCUUCGAUGAUCCCAUUCAAAAGCCUAGGGUUUUGAUGUAACACUAUAGAGCAAGUUGAACACUUGUCAGAUGCUCGAAAAGAACAAUGAUAAGGAAAGAGUUCUCAAACAGUUUGUCCACUUGGAAGAAGCUAUCUGGUGUUGGAAGACAAAUCUGCAUUAACCUUUCGUCUAGUGUCCCCACACCUCUUGUUUCUCUAUGGUUGUUAAGGAGAGCAAGAACCUCAACAUGAUAUCAUUACCAACCCUAGUUGGCUUAGAGAACGUUAAUUUUACUUCCUUCUUAAGGUUCUUAAACAAGCCUUGGAUUUUAACUUGGCCUGGAUAACUGAGGCAACUAUUUUUGAAGUUAAAUUCUCUGAUCAACUGGUGGUGCCUCAGCUUAGGAACACAAGGAGGUCAUUGAUUACCAACUUGCAAUUACCCAAAAUAUAAUGAGCCUCGGUCACCAAGGUCACCUAGUAGGCAAUUAUCCCUAAUCAUCACCUCUUGGUUGGACUACUCAAAAACUACAGAUUGUUUAAUGGAAUCAAUGGGUACACAUCACGAGUCUUGUAAUGCUUUAAAGGUAUCCUUCUCUCUGAUCAUGGAGAGAAUUAUUAGUCACAGCAUCCACUUUUCCUAAUAGAGGGACUUUCACAGCAACAAAAUAAAGGGGUUUCAGAAUAGCUUGAACCUUCCCAAUAGAGUUGAUGGAGGAAGCUGGACUGGAUUAGUGUUUGUUUGCAUACUAAAGACUAGCUUGGGUUGGUUUUUGGGAGGCUGACUUGGUAGCUUUCUUUUUGGAUCUUAGUCAAAUUUGUGUAUUUUUCUGUUGAUAUAGUCAGGAAGAUACAGAUUUGGUGAUGACCUGAGGGCUUAACACCUCUAGUUGCCUGUGGGGAUAUGCACAUCGUAUAAGAGAGCCAUGGCCUCUCUCCCAUUGGACCUGAACACUUCCAGCCAACUUCCAAACAUCUUCAACUAUUUAUAUUGAUACCCAGCUACUUACACUCUCAAACCAUCAUGUUGUUUCCUUCACUUUUUUCAACAACUAGUUGCUUUUCACUUUGUGAAUUUAAUGCACUUGCUUAAAUUGGUAAUUUUUCUUUUCCUUUUUUUGGCUUUUGCAGCAGACCUUUUAUAUAUAUAAUAAGCACUAAUGACAUUGUGCAUGAGGCCUAUUGGGAUCAGGAGAACCUUUUGUUUUGUUUGUUCUGUUUAUUUAUUAAUUUUUUUUCUAUCAGCUCAUCUCUGUCAUUGCUUUGGUAUAAAUGAUCCUCCUUCGUACUAAUAUACACAUACCCAUCUUUACUUAUCAGAAAAAAAAAACAAAAAACAAAAAAUCCUCCUUCAUCUCCAUAAAACCACAAAAUUUAAGAUAUUAUAAGAGUCGAUGACAGGCUGCUCUAGGUCAUUGUCAAGUUUCUAUUUCUUCAAACAUUUUCUGAUGUAUGCUGGUUUUUCAUUUUCUCCCCUUCUAAUUUAGACCAAUAUCCAGAUAUUGCUGCAACUGGUGAUUUUCCAAUUUGGCUCCAUUUAGCAUUAGGGAAACUAGAUGUGGUAUUGAUUAUCUAAAGGCCUACUCUAUUGAAGUAGAUGCAUUGUCAGUAACUACAAUGCCGAGAUUCACUUAAAUUCACAGCUACAAAAUUACAGACCCCUUGGGAAUAUUGAUUCAAUUCCUUCUGUCUUUGAGACUUCUGUCGGACUAAGGCACCCUUUAUCUGGAAAAGCUGAAAGAAAUCACACCUGGAGUUGGAAUGAUCUAGGGCUUCUGAUUCACAGGCUACAAGAAGGCCUUCUAACUCUUCUUUCAUAAUUGCCUUAAAGGGUAUAUGGUAUAAGAUCAAUUGGUUGUGAACCUUGCAACACCGAGCAUUGGUACUUCAUUGUCAAUAACUACAAUGCAGAGAUUCACUUAAAUUCACAGCUACAAAAUUCUGGAGUUAUUUCCAGAAUUCUUGAAUAUUUGAUUUGACAAACAAAACCCACAUAUAUUCUGAUGUUCUGGUUAUUCCCAAUUACUACAAACAAUUCAAAAAUUCCAAGUUUGUAACUGUAUAUAUUUAUAAGCCUCCAAAAUGAAGGAAGCACCUUUUUUCAGUUGCCUUCUGUUUUUUCUUCUUUUGUGGAACUUUGCUUUCAGCCAGAUAGGCUGGCUACACAAACUUUAUUCAUCUGAUAAUGCAAAUGCUAAAACAGUUUAGAUUACAGGCUCCCCAAUCAUUAGUGUGUGCUACCUCUAACAGCAUUUCCACCUUCAGAUAAUUUUUUUUAUCCCCUAGCAUCUCUGUCUUCUGGGGACUUGUGUUUAGAUUUUCUCAUAUUUACUUAAGUUUGCUUGAUAAUAAUAUGCAGGCCUGACCACAAUUUGCAAGAUAUAAGGGCCAAAAUUUUUCCUUUCAAAAGAAGAAAGACCAGUGUUCCUGAAGUUAUGCCUCCAAUUCCACUGCCAGUUAAAAGGAAGGAAAGAUCACUUUCAUCUUUGGUCGUAAGCACUCCCCGAGUAUCAAUGCAGACUGGCUUGACCGGAAGGAGAACAAAAGCUGUUGCGAGAAAGAGUACUGCUCUACGAGGUUCCAGUUUUUCCAUUGUGGAACCCAUUAAGAAAGAGGAAGAUUCUGUGGAAGAUUGUCCAGAAAGCUCAAGCUCACCUGAGUCUCGAAACAAAGUUGCUCAAACUAAGAAGCAGGUAAAGGAGGCAAGGAGUUUUGACUCUUUGGGCUUGUGUGACAAACUUCAAAUUGGUUUCAUUGAGCUAUCCCUUUUAGGUAAUGAUAUAUUUGCCAUACUGUGAUAACACCUCUGCAUUAUUGUUAAAUCAAUUGUAGAAUUCUUCCAUAUCUGAAGCUUCAAAAGAUCAAAAGCCUAAUAAAGAUACUGAGAAUGAUGCUGAUCCAUGGGAUGGAAAAGUUGAUCUGUGGACACCCUUAAACUGUCUUGUUGAAGCUGCAAACAGAACCAAGUCCUCUAAAUUUAAUUCUCAAGGGACGUCUCUUGCUAAGUCGGAACCAUUUAAUGCUCCUGACAGUGAAGUAUAUAUGCCUAAAACUAAAGCUAAAGCAGAGCCACUGAAUGCUGCUGAUGGUGAAGUCUGCAUUCCUAAGACCAAAAUCAAGGAGCAUGGACACAAAAUAAAAGUUCAAGAUGAUAAGAAUGGAGCGGCCUUGCUUCCAGGACCAGUGAAACGUAGAAGAAUGCGUGCAGUGGGCCGAAAAAGAAUAUCUGCAUCAGGGGAAAUGUGCACCCCAGCACAAGUUGUGCUAAGUGCUGCAGGGGCCAAACGCGGCAGAAGAAAUUGUCCAAUUUGGUUCUCAUUAGUUGCUUCUGAAAACCAGUAAGAAAUCACUUUGAUCAUGAAAUUUAAUUAUCAUAGGUAUUUCUUUUGAGGGGGAGCUUGAUUUAUGAUUUCUUUAAUUUUUUUUUUUUUUUUUUUUUUGCUGAUUAUAUGGUUAAUGGAUUCAGGGGAGGAAAUGGUCCCUUGUCAAAGAUACCUGCAUAUUACUUGAGGGUAAAGUGAGUAUAUUUGGUUCCACCACCUGCUUUCUGUUUUUCUGCAAUUUUCCCUUUUUUGAUAAGAUAAAUUUGGCAUUCUAAGUUAUUUUUUUUCCUAUUUCAUUCUAUUUGUUUACUUUAUUAUGCUCCACAUUUCUGUUGUAUAGGAACAUCUUUAAAUGUCAUCCUGGAAGUAGGAUUUGUGGAUUAAUGUUGGUAUAUAUUUUGUUUUAUUAUCAUUAUCAUAUAUGUAUGAUUCUGGAGGAACAGUGGAGGAACUCUACUGGAAGAAAAAAGUGAUUGAAAGAAAGACUUCAUUGGAAAAUAUAGGAAAAACACCUUAUCCACCGUGCCCACAUACACAUGCACACAGGCACACGCAUGCAUGCCAACACACAUGAGAUAGUUAAGAGCUUUGUGGCUUGCUGUAACCUGGAACUUCAUAUUGUCAAACGGAGUUUUCAGACAAAAUGUGCAUUUCAUAUUUUACCUAAUUGACAUACUCUAUGACCAUGAAGUUAUGACCACAUCCAAGGAAAACUCUUGAACAGGACUAGAUUCACCAAUUCUCAUCCUUAAUGGAUGCUAAAUUAGUUGGCUAAGUGCAUAAUGCAUGGACAUGGUGAAGAUAAAAUAAGAGAACAACAAAGACCUCUUGAAUAGCAACAAACUCAGGAAUUUACAUGACUCUUUCAAAAAAUCCAUGAGUAAGACGAUAUAAGUUUCUCUUCAUCUGGAAAUUUGGUUUCAAAAAUAGGGUUUUGGAGGCAGAAGAAAAUGGUAUAUGCAUACUGUUGUCCUUACAGUUUGAAGCAUCGUUUGUGUACAUCACAGUAUCACAGUAUUACUGUAUUCUUUACUGCUGUCUAUGAGUACUUCAUUUGUCCCUUUGAUUGAUUAAUACUUUGAUGUCAAGAUGAAACAUAGCCCGCUUGCUGCUUUAGAGGUAAAUUGUGUCGUGAAUAGAAGGAUCAUGUAUUUUUGCUAGUGUUACUUUCUUUUGUUAUAUGAAUAAGAUGAGCAAAGACAUUCUCAUUCGUGAUAGGCAAAAUAGGACUUGUAUAGUAAUUACAAAUAGGGAGCAGGAUACCCUUUCCAACAUUGUGUUUUUGGAUAUCUUCUAGGAAGUAUUUUCUAUCUCUACUUUUAGGAAUAAGAUAUGUUUUAAGUCAAGAAUAGCUCAUUUUGAUGUAAGAUCUGCACACUCCCUAAGAGGAUAAAACCAUUUGAAACCUUGACUAUUAUGAUAUUUUUAUUGAAAAUAUCAUCCCAAGCACAUAAACAUCCUUUGAUAUCUCUCAGAAAACUGCUGACCUUUAUGUAGAUCCAAAAUGGAGCAAGUGGAGUAAUUUAGCAUUAAUAAUAUUGUCAGGUGGUAAGCUCAAGAGUAUCUAGGGCUCUGGGCUGCAUCAAAAUAAUAAAAAAAUCAAUGCAUUGAAAGAAACAGAUAAAAUAAGAAAUUUCUUUUUUAUAUUGAUUUCCUAUUUACAGACACCCACUUGAUAUUUAUGCAGAUUAAGUUCCUUUUUUUCACAUUAAUGUGAUUCUUUUUUUUUUUUUCUUUUUUUUUAUUUUGUUGCAUCCGCUUUUAUGAUGAAACAUGAUAUCAUUAUUUUGUGUAUCAAUUAUAUCUUGGCAAGAGAGGUUUUAAAUUACUUCAAAGUUUCCCAACAAGAUUGCUCAGCUUCUUUAGAACAUCUCUAUCAAAUGAAAGUUCUAUUUAACCUGGGUGGUGGUUUUGAAUAACUGGGCCCAACUGAAUCUGUAUUAAGUGAUGUAUGAAUUGUUCUGAACCAUAAAAUUGUCAAGAUUUGGGAGUAAAUCAUAAAAUAUGGUGAAAGUAUAAAUCAAGAAUGAAGUAUCUUUUCAAUUUUAAAUCUAAUUUAAUUUAAUUUAAUUCAAUUGUGCAGUUUAUAAACAAAAGUGAGUUUUCCAAUAUUCUUUUACAAGAUCAAGGGAUUUUUUUCUUCUUUCAUUUAGACAUCACUUGAAACAAUUAUAAUAUUGCAACUAAUUCCUGAAUUAGUUACCAACUUUGAGGUACAUUAGAGUAAAUUCCCGAGUUACUGAAUUGCAUGAAACUAGAUCAGAUUUAGCACUUGAAGAAUUUUGUUAUCAGUGGGAUAAAAUUUUUUGGUUCUUGAGAUUUAUGUCAAAGGAUGCUUCAAAUGACCCUCCCCAUGGGCUUAUAUAAAGCCUAGGAAGCUUCUGGAGACUCCUACAUUAGUGGGAAGAGUGUGGAAGGUUCUAGAGAUGCCUAGAGAAGUCCACACAUCUCUACACUAUGGUGGAAGGCAUGAGAGGAGUCCAAGGCUUUCUAGAAAAAUCUAGAAAUCUCUUGUAUAUUCUUGUACAUAACUCUUGUACAUAGAAUUAUGUAGGGUGUUCUAGAAUUUUCUUGAUUUGUAAGGAACCCUCCAAGGUUCCAGAGAGUUCCAUUGGUGCCUAAAAAUAGAUAAGGCCUUCAUUUAGCCAAGGCACCACCCAAAAACCUCCCAAGAUCCUAACCAACCAACCAAUUGAGUUCCCAAAAGCACUUAUAAAGCUUCCUUUGAGCAAUAAAAGCUUCCAUUCUUUAAACGUCACCUACUACACCUUCUAAAGCUUCCGAGUCGUAAGCAUCUUAGCCUAGCAAGCUAAGCAUUGGGAGUAAGGCUGACUUAGUAAGAUCAAGUGUCUUGACUUGUCUAAGUGUCGCAUGAGCUUAGGAAAAGACUAAGUCCGUGACAUAGCUCUAAUGAUAAAAAAAACUGGAGAUAAUCUUCUCAUUGUUUCUAUAGUGGUUUUGUAUGGCAUUUUUCUGUUAUUCCAUCAUUUACAAGUUUUUUCUCAGUGGUUUUGCACAUGCAUGCUUGUGGUCUUAGCUCUGUUUGAUUUUUAUCUUGCUCAUUGAAUUAGGAUAUCACCUAUUACGCAAACAUUACAAAAUGGGCCUUCUUUAUGACCAUGUUCUUGUCUGUUAAAUUUUCAGAACGUGAUAAUGAGGUUGGCAUCAACGUUGAUGUUUUUACCGGUAAAUUCUCGCCUGCACUCAUGUUUUUCUAUUUUUGCAUUGCAGGGAUGGUAACUUGCCUGUCUCAUUUAUUCAGAAGUACCUUGUAAAGAAACUUGAUCUGACCAACGAAGCUGAGGUAAGCACUUAUUUUACCUUCCCUGACAGCUAGAAAUGUCUGGGUGUGUCUUUGUCUGUGCUCUUUACAAAGAUAUUGUUAGUUGUUAAAUGCAUGAAUCCCCUUCCUGGUUAUUGUUUGCUAAAAGCAGGAAGCUUAACAUUUUCAAAAAAAUUAGAGGGAAGCCAACAAAUGUUAAGCUUGAGGUCCCCACUUACACUUUCCUGGAGAUUCAUGGCAAUGGAUUUGAAGGAGAGUUUAUUCCAGUUGCUUAUUAGUUCCUAUAGUCCUCAUCCUUAGGAGUUUGCUCACAGCUUGAUAACUCCACUGCCCGCAUGCUGCUUAGAAACCAGUAAUGUAACAACCCUUUCCCUCCCAUGUAAAUACUGUCCGCUUUGAAUUUACUAGGCUGUCACAACUUUAAAACUCGUCUAUAUGAUUAAAAAGAACUCUACCAUAUAUAUAUAUAAUUAGUAUCAUAAACUUGUUCCGCUAUCCGAUAUGGAAUAGAAGCAUCUGUGAGUGGUAGCCGCAUGAUCCCAGAUUCCCAAUUCAUCUAUUUUCAGAAAUCUUGGCACCAAAACAUCACAAACUAGAUCUUUUUUCUUUUCUUUUGGACCAAACGCAGGUCAAAUCAUUUGCAUCCCAGAAGAUUUGUCCUUUGUCAUCAACACCUUCCAAUUAGCCAAAGCUGUAUGUUUUGUGUUUGAUUUGCUGAUUGUGUCUGUUAAUUGUGUUGGUGAAGGUGGAGAUAAGGUGCCAGGGUGAAGCAGUGGUUCCGACGCUGCAGCUGCAGAAGUUGGUGGAGCUAUGGCUGCGAACAGCAUCGACAUCAAAAAGAGUGGCAACAUCAGUAGGCACCUCAGCCAAGGAAUUUGUGAUGGUCUUGACAUACACAAGGGUCCAAGCCCCUUGAAGACACAAACAAACCUCUAUCAUUCUUCUUCUCCAUCUUCAUUAUUCAAAUCUUCAAUAAUAUAUUAUCCCCUUGUAGGAUGUCAUAAAAAUCCACCCAUUUUCUGGGUGCACUAUGUGUGAACGGUGUGAUUAAGCCACAAUUUUCCAAAAAAAAAUUCUGUACAAUGUACACCCUUUUUCAUUGCUCUUAGCAAUGAUCCGGAAACAAUUUUACCAUUUGGAUAUGAUUGCAUCUCUCUGCUGGUGGCUGAGCUUCUUUGAAAAAUGGAAAUUGAAAAUUGUAUUAAGUAUUUUAAUCAUAAUCCCAUAGAUUUUCUGUUUUAUGUUCUUAAAAGUAGAAACUUUUGUAUAAAAAAAUAUGGACAUGUAUUAUGUUCUUAAAAAUUAAUUUCGAAAAUUUUACAAUUUGAGGUAGUAAAAGGUUUCUGGUCUCUCAAAUUUUUACUUAAGAUUCAAAAAUUAUAAUAGUUUUAAUGUAAAUUUUUAAGAAUUUUUGUAUUUAAUAUUAAAGUUAUUAUUUGUAUUUUAUGAACAUUUAGGUAGUGUUUGUUUUUUUAUAACUCAUUAAAAGCAAUAUAAUUAGAUUGAAUAUAUUGAAAAUAAAUUCUUUUUAAUUAUAUUGGUUGAUAUUAAUGUUAUUUUUAGUUGAAUAAAAAAAGUCUAAUAUUUUGGAUUUUUUAAUUCAACUAAAAAAUAAACACUAUUUUAAAGUGUGUUUGGCAAGUUUCUACAUGUUUUUAAUGAAAAUGUUUUCUUAAAAGUAUUUUUAUGAUAAUCAUUUAUUAAGAGUGUAUUUAGUAAUGUUUUUAAUCAUUCUAAUACUUGAAUAAAAAAAUUUUGAGUAUUAAAAAUAUUAUAAACCCUUCUUAAAAUUAUUAUCAAGGUUUUAAGUAUUCUUUAAAAAACACUAUAAAUGAUUUUUGAACAAUAAAAAUGAUUUUUUGGAUUUUUAAAAGUAUUUCAUAAAUUUUAUAAAAUACUUUUUUUUUUCAAAAACAUUUUUAGCUUUUAGAAUCACUCUAAUAUGAUAUGAGAUUAUUAUAAUUUCAUUAAAAUAAAUAAAUAAAUAAAAACUACAAUCAAAGGUGACUCAUUGUUUAUAUUUAAAAAUAUUAUUAUUAGAAUUAUAAUAUAUAAACUUUGGAGGGACACAAGUAUAAAAUGUAUAUAUUUAAAUAUUAAGAAUUUAUAAGAUAUUUAUUUUAGGGAUACAAAAUGAUUUUAGAAAAAUGCUAAGUAAAUGUUAGAUAGCAUAUUGCAAAGCAUUUUUAUUUCUAGAAAUAAAAAUUGAAAAGGGAUUAGAAAAUUGUCUCACUAUCUCCUUUUUUUUUUCUUUUUUCUUUUUUUGUGAUUUCCUAUUAAUAAUAAUAAUAAUAAUAAUAAUUGAAAAAAAUAAUAAUAAUCUUUGGAAGACGGUUAUUAUUUUCAUUUGUCCAGCCAAACGGCCCACUUCUAUUUGACUGAUGCCCGACCGCAUUGGGAUCCAGGCCAAGCCCUUCUACUAGUUUCCAUUUCUACACGCCCUUUUCCUCGACCCCAGCCCUCGUCGCCUUCAUCGAUCAAAUAUGCAACAGGUAUGUAAAACCCUACCAAAACCCUAAUUUUUUUCGUUCUUACUAUUUUCUUCAUAAUACUGAUAAGGCAUUACAACAUGGAAGAGUGGAGGAUCUGAAACAGAGGUGACAUGGGAGGAUCAGCAGAACAUUAACAAAUUCGGAAGACUAAACAACAGAUUUCACGAGCUCGAAGAUGAGAUCAAGAUGGCCAAGGUAAUAAAGAAAAAAGAAAGGACUUUUCUGUUUUCCUUUUCGAUCUAUGAUUUUUGUUAAUUUUUUAAAAAUUUGGUUCUACUUUUUAACUGUGUUUUUAUGCUAAAUUUGAGGUUGGUUUUAAAAAUUAGAGGGAACCCUGAUUUGUUUUUGUCUUCAUUUGGUGGGUUUUUUGAAUAAAGUUCUUCUUUUCACUGGAUUUUUCUGUUAGUUUUCGGAUUAGGGUUCUGAUUCUGGAUCUUGAGUUAUUCACUGUAUUGCAUGAUCUUAAAUGGACUUUAAAAACCUACAGAAGGGCUUUUUUCUACCUCGUUUUUCUAUGGGUAUUAGGAAAAAAAAGAUUCUUUCUUUCAAUUUCAUAUGGGAUUUACUUGAUUGCUGUUGAUUUCUGAAUAUUAGAAAAACGCAGCUUUACCUUUUAAGUUUGAUGGAUAUUAAUAGAAGAAAUAUGGAUUUGGACUUAACUUUUGUGAUUGGUGGAAGUGAAGUGAGAAAAGUUGGAAAAUAGUGCUCAUUGGUGUGCUAGGAGCUUGUUUUUAUAAAUAUAACACAUUUAAAUUUAAAUAAAAUGGAGAAAUUGAGCUAAAGGAUGCACUUGAAGCAGAGAAGCAAUGGAGACAUCUUAAAGGCAAUUGUAGAAUUUGAAAUUGGUUUUUCUUGUCUGAAUUCCAAAGCAAUGUAACAUUUACAUGUUGAAUAAUGCUUGCAUUGUAUAGUGUAUGUAUGAUCCACCGUCACUAUGAGAUUCAGAUUUAAAAUAUUUAUUAGAGACAUUUCUGUUUGUGAAGAUUAGAAAUGAUUUUUCCACAAAUCAUUUCUAAUCUCACAUGCCUUGUCAUGCACAAGGGCAUAUGCCACAAAUUGAAAUGAUCAGGGAGGGUGUUGGAAAAGCAUUUAGCUAAUGAUUUGGCUAGGUUUCCAUGAUCCUAUUUGAUUGAUAUCUUUGAUUAUCUACACCAAUGAUGCUCACAGUGAAAAGAUGUGAAAGUUUUCUUCUGUCAGCGAGAUAUUUUAUAUUGGAUAAACUAAAGGUUGGUUGCACGAUGUAUUAAGAGCAAUCAUCAGAUUGAAGGAAGCAAUAUAACACACUCAAACAAUGCAAAAUAAAAAUAAAAAAUAAAAAAGACCUUGUUGUGAACUCUUUGAAAAACUUUGAUGUUGGAAAUAUAAUCUGUUUGUCUUACUGAGGUUAAAAGUGGCUAAGUUUUGAUGAGUUUUCUUCUACAUUUGGUCUUGGGAUUCAUUGUUCAUGGGUUAAGUGUUCUACUCUUGAGCAUGAUAGCUUGUCCUUAUUUUUGGUUCACAUUAUGUAUCAUUCCUCGUGGACAUGAAUUUCAAGCAUCUAGCAUCCCAUUUAACACCACUGCCAAAGUGCAACUUCUAAUUCUUUUCCAUAAAAUUGUUUCCUAAUAUUGGUUUCCAUACUUGAUAAAACAGGCAACAUUUAUAUGCAUGUAUCAUUCUUCUAUGCUUCUUACAACUGCAUUUCUCUGUUUAUGCAUAUUUAAGAAGUUGGGCUUGAUCCACAGAUUGUUGAUGUGGCCUCAGGCUGAGUUUGUGACAAACCAAGCUUGCAUUGAGCUGGAUCAGCUUGGCAAUUGAGAAUGCUAAAAUUUUGUGAUAAUGGAAGUUUCUUUGAAGAUUACUUAAGAAAAUAUAAAUUUUAUGUGUGAUUGAUUGUGUACGAAUGAGAUAUAUUUGCCCAAACCAACUGUAGCAUUCAAGAUUGAAAACUGUACUUAGUAUUGGUUUCUCUUCUGAACCUAAGUUAGUUUUCUCUAUUACUCAAGUUGGCAUGUUUGGUUAUGUCCUUCAAACAUUUUUCUCAAUUCCACUUAAUGAUGCCUUAUCUCAACUACUUAUUUCAGUCAUGUGAAUCAGUUUGCACCUUUCUACCCUAUGUAGUGUCAUUUCUUUCAUUGAGUCCUUCACUUCAAUGUCCUCUCUAUCAAGUUCUCUGGCACAUUUCCCCAUAUUCUUGUAGUACCCAUUAACUUGAUCUAUGUCAACCAAUAUUGAUGAAAACACACGUUCUUGUUAUGCAUGGCCACAACACAAGGAUCAGUAACAGAAAAGGAAAAGGUCAUAUUUAGUUCUCUAUCUCCUUGAGGAAUCAAGCCCUUCUAGGUAAGUAGGUGUGGAGGUUGCCUUGAGAGAACAACACUUUUUGGUAUAGAGUCAUCCUAAGUAUUUAUGGGUUGCGCCCCCAAUGAUUGGGAUACCAACUUUGUUGUUAGGUGCUCACAUUGUUCCCCUUGGAAAGCCAUUUCUCAACUCUUCAACAAUUUUUCUAAUUUCACAUUAUACUUGGUGAGAAAUGGCACAAAAAUUCGUUUUUAGGAGAAUGCUUGGCUAGACAAAUGUCCUUUCAAGCUUCAAUUUCCAAAUAUUUUCAAAGUUACAAGGACUAGAGAUAGGCUUGUUUCGUCAAAACCUUUAUGACACAAAGAUUGAAUAUCUAAUUAGCCCCUUUCAUUCCUACUUCAUGCAUAUAUAUCACCUUCCCUUCUAAUAAAAGAGUUUAGUCAUUAACACCCUCAAUAUUUUCUCUAUGAGCUCUUUCUAUAAAGCUCUCUUCGUUUUUCCUCACUUUCCUGUUAUGACCUCUUUUGCUCUAAGUUAAUUUGGAACUCAAAAGCUCCACCAAAGGUUAAUCUUUUGUUUGGCUUGUGGCUACCAAGAAGGUUAAUACCAACAGCUUCAAUUGAGGAGGCCUUACAAAGUUCUUAGCCCAAACCAUUGUGUUAUGUUCUUGAAGAGUAGUAAAUCAGCCGAUCAUCUUUUUCUUCAUUGUCCCACUGCACUUUUACUUUGGUAUAGAUUGUUAUGCAUAGCCAAUCUUGAAUGGUUUCCCCUUGGAGGCAUAGUAGAGAUGUUGAGAAUCUCUUUUAAGGGCUUUAAAAGCCUACCUACCAAAAGGGAAGGCUCUUUAGCAUAUGGUUAUUUUAUCCUUGAUAUGGUUUAUAUGGUUAGAGAGGAAUGCAAGGAUUUUUUAGGAUAAAUGAAGAUUUGUGGAUGCCAUAUGGGACGAUUUACUUUUUCCUCCUCCCUAUGGGCCUCGGUCACCUAGCCCCUUCUAGAUAUUCCUUUGUAUCUUUUAAUGCAAAAUUGGAAGAGUGCUUGCCACUCAAUUAGGUUGAAGAAGAAAGUUAUGAUUGAUUGGUUACCCUCCCUAGUUGGUUUGGUAAAGUUAAACUUUGACAAGUGUUCUUUGAGUAAACCCUAGUCAGAUAUGUACUAGAGGUGUGACUGGAGAUCACUCUUAUCCAUUAUUAAGAGCUUACUCGAAGCAUGAAGAAGCGGGGUUGGCUAAUGAGAUAGAAAUAUUGGCAUUAUUGGACAACAUGCUACAAGCCAAAGCUUUAUGCCUAUCCAAUCUAAUUGUAGAGGGAGAUUUUAACACUGUAAUAUCUUGGAUGAGUAAUAGAGAAAGAGGUCCAUGGAAGUUUGUGAAAUGGAUGCACAAAAUCAUAGAUAUUGCUAGCGAGUUGGGUUGUUCCUUCUCUUUGGCUCCUUGUUCAGCUAACGAAGUCACUAAUAAGUUAACCAAAUAAGGAGCAAAGCAUUUGGCCUCCUUUUUGGAGAUUUCCCUCCCCCUUGAGUGUCUUAAUGUUUCUCUACUGUAUGUAUAUCGGUUUUCUCCUAGUGAGGUUGGCUAGUUUUUGUGGAUCUGGUUACUUGGUCACUUUCCAAUGAACCUUUGUACAUCAUUUUAAUAGAUUGCUUGUCCUUCUUGUAUUCAUCACUUGAUUGAUGAAUGAAGAUGUUUGUUUCUGAUUUUAAAGAAAGUUAUCUAUCUUGCAGUUUGGUCCAUUCCUCUUGCAGCAUGACAUCACAAUAUUAAGUGACCCAGUAUUGCACUAAAAGAAAUAACGCCAAUGAAGUAAUGAAUUAUCUUUGCUUGUGGAUAAAAUGACAAUUACUGUCUUGAUAUAUGGAAUCAAACAAUAUAUAUUACUCCCUUCUGUGCAAAAAAUAUUUUGUUACUUACUGCCAUGAAUUGUGUCAGAUCUUUCCAUGCCUGUUCCAUCUCUUUAUAAGCAAUUAAAACAUCGGUCAAUCUGUAUAUGUUUAGUUGCCAUCCCCUUUUAACUUAAUGGCUUAUUUCUUCAGGAAACAAAUGAAAAUCUGGAGGAUGCAAGCAAUGAGUUGAUUCUCACAGACGAGGAGAUGGUCCGCUUCCAGAUAGGAGAGGUUUUUGCUCAUGUGCCGAAGGAAGAAGUUGAGGAGAGGAUAGAACAGAUGAAAGAGGUGACUAGUAAGAAGUUGGAGAAGCUAGAGGAGGAGAAGGAUUCUGUAGUUGCACAGAUGGCAGAACUGAAAAAGAUUUUAUAUGGAAAGUUUAAGGAGUCAAUCAAUCUAGAGGAGGAUUAGUGGGAAGUUCAAGCAUUCCCCCCCGUCUGGCUCCUUCCCGCUCUUUGGAUAAUGUGUGUUUCCUUGUUGCUAGGAUGUAUGUGGGGAAUUGUUGAUUAUUUUUCCUUCGAAUAUGAUAUCAAUGGCUCAUUUGAGGAUUGUUCCCAUUUGCUGUCUUUACCGUCAAUUCACGGCUUCCCUUGAAAAUUCAUUUGUUUCCUCAGCAUUUUCAUUAAAGAUAUCUUUCACAAAGUCAUGCUACAAUGCACUUCCAAGGAGAGAUAUCCUUCCCUAUCAAACUAUAUUGGGAAUCCUUAAAUUCCCAUCUAGUCUGAAAACUCACCAUGAAAGAAUCCAACUCAGAGGCUCACAGUGGAAUGAAGCGUUGAUUUGGCAUUUUGCCCUGAGCAGUGUAUUCUUGGCGUUCGCUUCAUGGGUUUGAUGAUAUUUUGGUUUCUUCGCAUCAUAUAACAAAGAUGAUAUAUCCCUUCUGAUCCUACUUUCCUUUAGGUCAUGGUUUCACGUCCCAUGAAAGUGGAACCACCCCAUACCAUGUACUCAUGAAACAUUCAAAAAGCUAGACAUUUUUGUCUGUCAAUGAAUUGGCCUUAAUGUAUCAAGAAAAAAUAAAAUAUAUUACUCAAGCUGAAUCUUAAUCGUGUGUUAACCAAAGAACCCAGUCCGUCAACAUAACAGCUUGGCCCCAAUUUAUUUUAAGAGAAUGUAGGCUGUCAAGACAAGACCACAACUUGUCCCAUUUGUAAAUGAAAAACCAGCUAAAACCAGGUAGUCUUAACAGCUGCACUGCCUCAAAACUCAAAAGCAAUUUCCCCUAGAGAGCAAUAUAUUAUUUAUUUCCAUUGUCUUAAGAAAUGGAAGCAUGGGCAUAUCCAAGCCUAGUCAUAAUUGUAGUUUACAUGAAUUUCACCCUUUCUUCAGGUGAUUGCUGUCACUUGGGGCUGAUUGAUGAUGUAUCCUGGUAGCAACAAGUCUAACAACACAAAUGAAUCUCUCACUUUCUAUGUUUCGGUAGGUUUAUAUUCUCAGCACCAUCAUCAGGAAGAGGCAACUAGUUUCACAAUACUAUUCAUUAUGCGGCUUAAAUUUGCAGAAAAAGCAAUCAAAUGGUUCUAAGUUUUAACAAUAAUAGUUGCUAGAUACCAUUUGCAUUUCACAUUAGAAACAUGCUUCUUAACACAGACAAGUGCUGCCCAAAAAGCAAAAAUAGGCAUCCCCCUCUUUCCAGCACAUGAUCAAAUCCCAAGCACAGUAAGCAUACCAGCAUAUUUUAGGGACAUCAGAUAAAAGCUCAAACAGCACAUAAUGAUACCCAAGCCAAAUAUACCUGCUAUAUCUAGACAUCCCACAAACAGUUACAUUUUGUUUUUCAUAGAAUUUCAAGCAACAAAUCAAAAGAGAAUCUAUCAAUUAAAAUGAUCCCCCUUCACUUUAGUCAGCAGACAGAUUUAGAGAAAUUGUUUUAUGACAUCAUAAUAAUGGCCCUCUUCACUUGUUAAGAUGCCACCGGAAAUACAUUGGAGUCACUUCCAACACAGUGUACAAUGGAAAAACUGGCCUAGUAACCCUGGAGCUUCCAAUAUGUGAUAUUGAAUUAAGACAACAGAAAGAAAUAUCACCAAUUGAACAUCAUAAUCAUAGCACAACUAAUAUCAAUGCAAGCACAUGUGAGUUGAUCACCAUAAAAUCCAGAUAAAACAGCACAAAAUCCCAGCCAUUUAGUAUCACAAGAAGAGAACCAUCCAAUUUGAAUGUGCUGCUUAUUAACAUAUGGAACAUCACCAUCCAACUAAGCAUUUUAAAGUACAACUGAAUAAAGCUGUAGAGGAUGGUAUUACUUAAAACAUGAACUACUUUCUUUAAUGUAGCUUAGAAACAAUCUAUUGUGUUCUAAAGAUAAUGGUGAUCCAAAAAUAUAACCUUUCAAUGCUCUGUCAUAAAUAAAAUUUAAAAGAGAAUUACAAGCCCAAAAGGGGAAACCAACUUGCACUCAUGGGAGUAAAUUAUAGCCCCCUUUUUAAUUUCAUACUCCCUCCUUUUGUGCAUGGAGGCAGGUUCGAUCAAGUGAAUUUUCCUUCCCUAUUUCUGUGUAAAAAGGGCCAUCGCUGAAUAAGUAAAUCUUAACUGCUAAAGGUUGUUAUGAAGAAGAGUAACACAAACCCUGAACAAGCUAAAAAUUACCUCUCUUCCCAUAUUAGCAACAGAUAUCUGGCAGUAAACUCUAAUGAGUUGAUGCUAUUCUAUAGCACUCCUUUCCAAGGAAAGGAACCUGUCAAUUCUAACAUUUGCCCCUUUCCUUAUUUAACUCAAGCACCAAAAAUUGUAACGAUGGAAAUUGAGUGACAUAAACGCUGCAAUUCGAAUGCGUGCAUGCACACAACAAACUCAAUCAUGAUCAACUGUUAAAGUAGAUUAAUAAUAUCCUGCUAAAAACUAUGAUAAAAGGUACAGCUAACAUUAUGAAUUCAAGGCCUGCCAUGUUUCAUUCUUUAGUGAAGACCAAAAGCCGCUUAAAAAUACAUUCAGGCACAUCGGAAAAUGAAUCCAAAGACCAAUUAAUAAUUAAAUUGGGGAUUAUACUUCAAUUCUAAUCAAAUUUUCCAGUAUUGCCACACUAAUGUUUCUUUUAGAGGAAUCAGAUGUAUAUUGUAUUGAUUGAAUCACAAAGAUCUUACAUUUAGUAUUCACACCCAUUUCUCUCAAAAGGUAGUUUAUAAAUGGUAAUACUGCAAGCCGAGUAUUUUAAAUUGGCUGUAUCGAUAAGAAAGGGAGCAUAACUACAAAAGGUUUAAGGAUAUACAGAAAAGCUACUGCUUAUGGCAUCUUAAGCAUAAUCUCCAUAAAAUUUUGAAAGAAAAAUCUUUAUAUUCAUUUAAGAACUUCCAAAAUAUGAAUUAGAUACAAUAAUAAUAUUCCAAAUCACAAACCAUCAAGACCUGCCUGCUUUGGAUGCUAUUUGAGCUCUUGAAUGAACAAAAUCUCUUUUCCUUAGUAGCCUCUGGUGAUAAGUCAGCCAGAGCACAACAUGUUUGCAUGAUAGUUUUGCCAAUUCACAGCUAUAAAAUAGCAAUUACUAACCAAUGUGUGGCAAGCUGGAAAUUCUGCAAUAAGAAUAAUCCUUGCUGCAAUUUUGACGACCAAAAACCAAUUGACACCCACUUGAACUAAGCAUAUAAAAGGGUUUUUAUGUUAAGGCCAACCUAUCCAAGAACUGAUGACUUAGCAUUAAUCCAUGUACCUCACAAUGGAAUUAUAUUAUUAAAAAGAAUAUGUUCGAUAUGUAGCUCAAUUCGUUAACUGUCGUGUUCGGAAGCAACCACUUGCCUGUUUUGUUAAAGAGAUAAUUCAUCAUUAAACAAGGGACUGAUAAUUUUAGGAGAAUGAUUACCUAAAAAAGAAUCCAAGAUCUAACUUCAAACUGGUUUGAGGCAAACAAACACAUUUUUUUCUAUAGGAAAAGGGAAUUUAUUAAAUAGCACCUAACAACAAAGGAGACGCAACCCAAGAACACAAGACCAUUCAAAGAAACAAGAAAGAAGAAACAAAAACAGAAAAAAACACGUGCAAACAAACAAAUUGAUUAGAUCAAAAAAGUGAUUAAUAGAACUUGUCAUUCACAGGACUGACACAUACUAAUAUCAGCCACACGUGUCUGAGAUGACCAACAGCACAACACAAGAAUUUCAGGAGCAGAUUAAUCAUCAAAACUUUCCAAGUGCUACAAAAGUAAAGAAAUUACACUACUUUUUCCAUUUAAAGGAUAUCAGAAACAGAAAGUUGAAUUUACUUUCGAUGAUGACGACAAAUUUAUUAGCUGAUCUAAAAGUUCCAUGUAACAACCUAAAAUUCUGUUGCCACAAACCAAAAACACACAAUUGGAUCUGAAAGAUUUGAUAUUGUUGAUUCCAGCACAAAAUUCCAAACUCAUCCCUAUCCAAAUGAAGAUUACAUCAAAAUCCAGGUUAAGGAAAAAUCAGAAAAUGGACAAAAUACAUAUUCCCAGUCAUUGAUACGGAACCAGUAUACAGUACAAGUUUCUUGUAGUCCUGUAAGGUAGCACCAAAACAAGAAUGAUAGAAAUAGGCAUAGGAUCCUACCUCCUUUGAAACAAUUACAUGAGGAUAACCAAAAGAAUCAAUGAUAACUGCUUCGAAAUAAAGCCUAAAAGACCAAUAAUCAAUACCCACUUCCAUGGAGUUUGAGCCACUUGCAUCCUUAAAGGAGAGCGCAAUUUAUACACCUCAAAUAGAAUUCCAUAAGUCCAAGAACCAGUCCCCAAUUCCUUCAGGCUUGAACCAAUUGUAGAAAAAAUAACAAGCACCCAACAACAACAGCUUUGAGCCCAAAUUAAUUCCAUCCAGAAAACAAGAAAAUCUAACGAUACUCCCUUCAAAUUGAACUUCAAAACCCCGAUAACUAGAACAAAAGAAAAAAAAAAUCAAACCCGAGUAUAAUUGGUUGGCCGCAACUGCUGGCCACCCGCAACCGAGAGCAACCCUCCUUCUGCCACUUCCUCCUCAUUCAGAAACAAGUCUUCUGUGCCCCUAAACGCAGCGUGUAGCCCAACCACCGCAACCCCAAUUAUUAAAGAAACUAAAACGUUCAAACCCACAUCAGUAAACACCAAUGCCACAACUGUAAUCAAUCCCAGCAGUACCAACACAACACGGUCAUCGAUUGUUUGGUGAAACAACACUACAGGGUUGUCCCGGAAGAAGUACAGAAAGAACCAAGCAACGAAGAUUAUCAAGAAGACAAUCAUGGAUGUUGGGUGCCACAAAAGGCUCACAAAUAGUAUGAAAAGCAUUACCAUCGCGUAGUUCACGCGGAAGUAGUUGACAUUUCUCUUGAUUCGAGCCAUUGCAUCGCUGUAGUUGUGGGGACGGGAGAGAACUGAGUAGUCCAAGAACUCCCGCCAUGGGCGUCUUGUGGCCAUUAGGGUUUGGGUCCGUUGGGUGGCGCGUGAGAUGAAGGUGAACUGUUCGGAGGUUGACGACGAUGGAACGGCGGCGGAGGCGUUGGGAAGCGUGCCAUAACCGGCGGGUGAUUUUAGCGACAUCUGAGAGAAAUUGAGAAGUAAUAAUCCUUUACCCAAGAGAGAAAAAACAGAAGGGCUCUGGAUUUGAGUUAAUAAAGUGGAAAUCCCAAGCUCAGAUUGAUGAAGAGAGGAAAAAACUAAAGAGAGAGAGAGAGAGAGAGCAAGCCUUAAACCUAGAUUUAUGAAGAAGAGAGAAAGCUUGGCUUAGAAUUUAGGGCUUCACUGUAACCAUAAUGCAGAGGCAGACCCCAAGACGAGAAAAACGUUUUCUUGGGGUUUUCUUUUUCCUGAGAAAAUGAAUUAAGGAAAGAAAACGGAGAAAUGGGUUCAGUUCGUUGCGUGAUGACGACGUUAUCAAAACAGUGGCUAGGGUAAAGUCAAGACACAAAGUUCCAGCCUUCCACCUCACCAAGCUUCCCUUUCUGGCUUUACAAUCACAUGUGGCCACCUCUCAACUAACUCAUUAUUUAGAAAACAUGUUUUACAACGCUUCUUUUUAGUUUUUACAACAACUUAUUUUUUAAAAUGGGGUGUUUCUUAAAAAUAAUUAUAUUUUUAUUUUUUAAAAAAUUUAAAAACGCAUAAAUUAGGUUGAAAAUAUUUUAAUUUUUUUAGAAUUUUAUAUGUUUUUUAUUCUAAAUAAAAAAAAUAAAACUAUGAGACAGGUGAAAAACAUUUUUUAAAUUUAAUAAUAUUUUUGUAUUUAUGUUGAUAAUUUUACUUGUAAGUUGUAACUUAUGCCAUAAGUUGUUUUAUAUUUAAUGAAUUAUUUUUUGAAAAUUAUAUAUAUAUAUAUAUAUUUAUGAAAGGAGACUAAGCAUAACAUCUACAAAUUUAAUUGCAAGAUGAUCGAUAAUAAUAGUCAAAACUAAACUUUAUAAUAUCUUCAGGAAAAUUAGACUACUAAAUGAUUGAUUCUAAAUUACAAAUAUCUUUAUUAAUUAAGCAAUUUGUUGUUUUAUUUGUUUCCUUAUAAAUACGACAAUAAUUAUAAAUAUUUAUAUCGCAAGAUAACUUCCAAUUAUCCUUCAUUGAUAAUAGAAUUAGAAAUAUUAAAUUUUUUAUUAUAAUAAUUUUCCAUUCGCUUUCAAUUUCUAGGUUUACCAACCCAUUAUUCCUAACCAGUAACAUGUCAUUUCUUAAGUCAUACAUUCUAUAAUGAUGAUCAUAAUUUUUCUUACAGUUAUCUUUAUGUUCUUUCUUUUUAUUUUCUUUCCCAAAAACUUUAUUUCUCACUUUAAAAUAAAAUUAAAUAAAUAAGUAUUGUGUUACAUACACUUUCUAUUUGUUUAAAAAAAUAAAAGGGGCAAUAUCUUCAAUCUAGCAUGUGAUAGUUGUUAUAUAAAAUAUAUAGAUUUAUCAUGUACCCUUAAAUAUUACUUUUAAAAGAAAAUUGAAUUUAAGGUACUAUAACUUCUUCUUUAAAAAAAUAUAUAUAUUUUAGCAUUUUAAAUAGUUUUUAAUUUUAAAAGUAAUUAUCUUUUUAGAGUAAGUUUCAAACAUUUUAUAUUGAAACUAUUAUUAUUUUUCAUUUCUAAUGACAAAACAAGAAAUAUAACCAAAUCAACCUUAAAUAAACAACAAUAAAAUAAAUCAAUAAAUAGAAGAAACCAUGAUGAAUGAAGUUGCAAGGUAUCUUUCAUAUUAAACCAUCAAAAACCCGUAUUUUUCAUGUGUCAUCACUCAAUGGCAAAACUUGUUUUUUCAUUUGUGAAAAUUUGAUUUUUUUUUAAAGAAAAAAUAGAAUAAGAAAUAAAACUCUAAUAUGACUUUUUUUUUUUAAUGGAAAAACAUGUUUUUAAAAACGAGUCCAAAUCUAGGGUUAAGUUAUUUGUUGGAUGAAGAUAAGUUACUUGUUGGAUGAAGAGAAUUAUGAUAAUUAAUUGAUUAUUAUAUAAUAAAAAAAAUACAAUAAAAAUAUAUACAACAAGAUAAGAUGAAAAGCAAAUUAUAUUAACAUACAACACUGGUAAAGGAUUACACAAAUUAAUUUAUUAGACUAAUUAUAUUUUUUUUUUAUUUCCAAAUAUUACAAAAUUUUAAAGAAAUUUCAAAAGAAUUUAUUUACAUUAAAAGCAAUUUCAAGUUAAUGAUUUCAAUUUAUUUAUUCACAAAAAACUUAGUUUAUUAACAAAAGAUUUGAUCUUUAUUGGCAUUCAAAUUUAUUAAAAUACUAAUAAUAAUAAUUUGUAUAUAAAAUAAAAUAAAAAUAUAGAAGUUUUCACUACAAUGGUAAUAUUUUUAAAAAUUAUUUUAAAAGAUUAAAUUAUUAAAAAAAUUAUUAUCUCAAAUUUUAAUUUAAAAAAAAAAUAAUUUUGAAUGAUAUAAAUAAAUAUGAACUUUUGGUAUAAAUAAGAAAUAUAUCCAAUUAAUUUAAAAUAAAGAAGAAAAAGGAUAAAAGAAAUGAGAUUUCUAUUUCACCCCUAUUUUCUCUUUAUUCAUAUUCCUUUUAAGUGACAUAUUUUUAUUUUUAUUGACCAAAUUGACCAGAAUGCUGAUCUUCUAACUCUUGAAGAAUGAGGGUUAUAUUAGUAUUUUUAAAUUUUCAUGCUGUGGAAUAUUCGGAUAUUGGGAUAGAUCAUGUAUAAAGAUAAGGAAGCGGGGUAGGAAGGGAAGCGGUGGACACAAGUAUUUCAUAGAAGGAUGCCCUAAAGAAAGGUGGCGGCGUAGAUUCGGCGUUGCAGGCCGCAGAAGAACGAAAGCUCAGGAUGAUAGGAAGGGCUGUUGCUGCUUGGAGUUGGAGAUCAUCUUCUUCUUCUUCAUCUUUUGGUACCCUGCAUUCUCUUCCUCGCUUCAAUUGUUCAUCUGUUUUUGUUUCUUCUGAUUCGCUUUCCAAAACCCUACCACCGCUUGAUCACAUCGAUGGUGUUAUAUCUCGUGCUAAUCCUAUGCUUUGCUUGCGAUCGCAGCCCUCCAUUUCCAAAUUUAAUGGAUUUUUUUUAGGGCUAGUUUCCAAAAGCAAGCAUCACUCUAUCGUCAUUUCUAUGUGUAAACUUGAGAUUUCCUCUGGAAUUCCACUUGUUAAUUCUUUCUGCCAUUCGAGUAGGUGGGGUUUCUCUCUCCCCAUUUUCGGAGAUUUCCUUAAGCUUGCUGUCAACGAGUGACUGCAAUUUGGGGCUUGUAGUCAUCAGGCUACUUAGAAGCAUGGCCUGUAAUUGAGCAUGAGAUUGUCACUUAUUCAUAGCCUUUGUGAGGAUAGACAAGUAACCGAGGCUUUGAACCUUUUCUCUGAAAUGACCACUUGAUAAUUCAUGGCCUAUGUGAUGAAUGUAACCAAAAACAAGUUACCACAAUGUUGAAUGAAAUGGUAGAUAGCAAGAUAAUGCCAAAUGUAGUUCUACUUUUAAUACAUUGGUGGUUGGAUUUUGUAAAGAAGCAAUGGUGAUAAAAGCAUAUGAUGUAGUUGACAUGAUGAUCCAAAGAUGUUUGACAUUGUUUGUAGUCUGCAAUGAGCAAGGCAGUUAAAUUAUUUGAUGGGAUGGCAAGGGCUUCGCGCUUAAUGUUGUUAGCUAUAAUAUCUUGAUCAAUGAAUACUGCAAGAUUCAAAGGAUAGAUGAGGUCACGAGUCUCUUUGAAGAAACAUAUACGCUCCUAUGCACAGUUUGUGCCAUGUGGGAAGACUCCAGGAUGCAAUAGAACUUUUUCAAGAGAUGGUAGCUCAUGGCCAAAUUCGAAAUCAUUUUACUCGGGUACCUAUCCAAAAAUGGAUAUCUUGCCAAGGUUUUGACAUUGCUUAAAGCUUUUGAAGAUUGUAAUUUGGAUCCUGAUAUGCAAAAUUUAUAAUAUAGAUCAUUGAUGGCAUAGAUAUGAAAGGCUGAUGAACUUGAAGCUACAAGGGACCUCUUUUUAUAAUCUCUCUUCCAAAGGAUUGCUACCUAAUGUUCGAACUUAUUGUAUAAUGAUCAUUGGGCUUUGUCAAGAAGGUUUGUCAGGGGAGGCAGGUGAGUUGUUUGAGGAAAUGGAUAUAAUGAGACAUCCCGAGCAAUUCAACUUCUUAAAGAAAUGGCUGCAAGGGGAUUUCUAUUGAUGCAUCCACUGCAACCUUGUAAGUGUAAAUGGUUUCUGACGAUGGAUUGGAUCAACCUGUAAAACAAAUUUUGUAUGAGUUUAUGCAACAGGGCUAUGAUUUUCAUCAACUCAAAAGUAUGGAGUUCUUGGCAGUACCCUCUUGUGCAUUUGCUUGUGAAUUGUGAUUUUGGAACCAAAAGAGUUUGAUUUUAUGACAAUGUCAUGUUGUUGCAAUUAGUUCCAAUUUCUUUUGGAAUUUGUAUGAGCAAUGAUUCAUUGGUUAUAUGUAUUUGUAUUUUUUUUUCCCCUUGUAUGGUAUAGUAUGCUCUCACCAUACUGGCUUGACUACCAUUGCAGGUUGUUUUGGUUGCAAGUAUUCCCAUAUCAUAUUGGGGCCAUAAAUUUUUUUUGAAGAACAAGGAAAUCAUAAUAAAUUAUGUCUUUAUUUCACACAUGUUGAAUGCAUCAAAAUUCUUACUAUUCUCACAUUUCAUUCUUGUAGCAUCUUUGAUUAUUUUGAUACUUUAUGAAACAUUGAAAUACUUAUAAUUUGACAUUUUGGAUUCCUUGUUUGGAGUGAUUCUAAUUAAAACAUUUUUUGUUUGUAGAGUUUCUAUUAGAAAUGUUUCUAAAAAGAUUACUGUGAAUUUAUCUUGUAUUUUAAAAAUUACUUUUAAUUUUUUAAAAAUUUGAGUUAUGAAACAUUUUUAAUAUCUUAAUUUUUUUAACUAGAUUUUAAACAAGCAUUAUUAUGAAAAAAAUAUAUGCAAGCAAAAAUUUUGCAUUAAAAUUAAUUAUUGGAUACCGUCUUUGUAGUGGUAUUCUCUACAAAAGAAUAUCCUUCUGUUAUUUUAUAAGAGAAAUUAUGUUAUUUUUUUAAAAAAAGCCCAAGCCUUGAUGAUACAGGUUUAAGGAAGGAAUACCUCAAUCGACAAAUUUAAGGAUGACUUUUUCAAAUUAAUAAAGGAAAGAUGAUUGAAAUUAUUGUCAAAAUACUUUUUCUCCUUCAAGCACUUGAAGAUGAAGAUGAUUAUGAGAAGGCCUUCUUCUCGUCCUUCUGGUACGCAGAUGCUUUCUCUCCUUGCUCAUUUCUUGUCUUUGUCACAUAAUAGAUUUCAUUCCAAAUCCCUACAUUUUAAUACCAUUGACGGUGCCAUCUCGUCAUUUAAUCGAAUGCUUCGUAUGCAACCUCCUCCCUCCACUGUUGAUUUUAAUAAACUUUUAACCUCCAUUGCUAAAAUGAAACACCACUCCACUCUGCUUUCUCUUUCUCACCAAAUGGAUUCUUUUGGAAUUCCCCCCAAUAUUUACACCCUUCACAUCCUCAUUAACUCUUUUUGCCACUUGAAUCGGGUGGGUUUCGCUUUCUCCGUCUUAGCCAAAAUCCUCAAACUUGGGCAUCAACCCGACACUGCAACGUUCACCACUCUGAUUAGGGGGAUCUAUGUUGAGGGUAAAAUCGGUGAAGCCCUCCACUUGUUUGAUAAAAUGAUUGGGGAAGGUUUUCGACCCGAUGUAGUUACAUAUGGAACUCUGAUAAAUGGGUUGUGCAAAGUGGGCAACACUAGUGCCGCUAUCAGGUUACUUGGGAGCAUGGUGCAAAAAAAUUGUCAGCCUAAUGUAUUUGCUUAUAACACCAUUAUUGAUAGCCUUUGUAAGGAUAGACAAGUAACUGAGGCUUUCAACCUUUUCUCUGAGAUGGUCACUAAAGGCAUUUCACCUGAUAUUUUUACUUACAACUCAUUAAUCCACGCUCUUUGUAAUUUAUGUGAGUGGAAACAUGUCGCAACACUGUUGAACGAAAUGGUAGAUAGCAAGAUAAUGCCAGAUGUAGUUAGUUUUAAUACAGUGGUGGAUGCACUCUGUAAAGAAGGAAAGGUCACAGAGGCACAUGAUGUAGUCGACAAGAUGAUUCAAAGAGGUGUGGAGCCUAAUGUAGUCACCUACACUGCAUUGAUGGAUGGACACUGUCUGCUAUCUGAAAUGGAUGAGGCAGUUAAAGUAUUUGAUACGAUGGUUUGUAAGGGCUGUAUGCCUAAUGUUAUCAGCUAUAACACCUUAAUCAAUGGUUAUUGCAAGAUUCAAAGGAUAGAUAAGGCCAUGUAUCUCUUUGGAGAGAUGUGUCGACAAGAAUUGAUUCCUGACACUGUGACUUACAGCACUCUUAUACACGGCUUGUGCCAUGUGGAAAGACUCCAGGAUGCAAUAGCACUUUUUCAUGAGAUGGUAGCUUGCAGCCAAAUUCCAAAUCUUGUCACUUACCGAAUUUUAUUGGACUAUCUAUGCAAAAAUCGUUAUCUUGCUGAAGCUAUGGCUUUGCUGAAAGCUAUUGAAGGUAGUAAUUUGGAUCCUGAUAUACAAGUUAAUAAUAUUGCCAUUGAUGGGAUGUGUAGAGCUGGUGAACUUGAAGCUGCAAGGGACCUGUUUUCCAAUCUCUCCUCCAAAGGAUUGCAGCCUGAUGUUUGGACUUAUAGUAUAAUGAUCAAUGGGCUAUGUAGAAGAGGGUUAUUAGAUGAGGCAAGUAAGUUAUUUAGGGAAAUGGAUGAGAAUGGUUGCACACUGAAUGGUUGCAUUUACAAUACAAUUACCCGGGGAUUUUUACGAAAUAAUGAGACAUCAAGAGCUAUUCAACUUCUUCAAGAAAUGGUUGCGAGGGGAUUUUCUGCUGAUGCAUCCACUAUGACCUUAUUCGUGAAAAUGUUGUCCGAUGAUGGAUUGGAUCAAUCUUUAAAACAAAUUCUACGUGAGUUUGUGCAGUAAAGAGUUAUGGUAUUCAUCAACUCUAGAUGUGGUAUUCUUAGGGGGUCCCACUUGUCUCUGUUGUUGUUAAUGCCUUUUGAUUGUAUCAACGAGUUUUUGCAAGCAAAAGAGUUGGAUUUAUGAAAAUGUCAUGGUGUUGCAAGAGAUAAUUCUAGUUAAUUGUAAUUUCUGUUGUUACCGUAUUUUUACCUGCCAUUGAUUUCCUUCCAAUUGGAUUUCAUUUAAUGGACCUUACAGUGAUUGUCUUUUGGAAAUGGUAUGAGCAAUGAUUCAUUGGUUAUUGCCACCAGUGUCACUUGAGGCACUUAGCUUUCAUACCUACCUUCUUAGUUAAUGAGGGGUGAAGAUGUAGCUGGGAAGACUAUUCUGGUGAUGAGGUUGGGAGUAUGGAUGUUUUGUUCAUUGAUGUGAUUUUUUUUCUUUUUUCCCUUUUACUUGUAGUGAUGUGUUUUUGUAUUUGUUCCAUUUUAGAAAAAAUCAAUAGGAGAAAGUGGGAAGCCUGUUUUCUUCUUUCUUUUGCUUAUUUCUUGUUCCCUCCCUGCAAUUGAAUCACCUAAUGUAGAGAUUUAUGCUAUUGUCAUCAAUGGCAUGUGCAGAGGUGCUGAACCUUAAUCUAUUUUUUUAUGAAUUUAUUUUUCAUGAAUUGAUAAUCUAAUUGAAUAAAACUUUUAUGGAAUUGAAGUUGAAAAUUUUCUCAGUGAGGUUAUAGUCCAAGGUUUAAAGCAAUAUUUGAAUGAUCAGAGAAAACUAAACUUAACUACUGUCAAGUUCAUUAUCAAAAGGUUUUGAAAUUUUGUAUAAUGAAAUUAUUUGUUAUGAAUUUAUAACGUAUUUGAAUAUAAUUUUUAUGAAAUUAUUUUAUCCAAAUAUUUAGAAUUUUGAUUUAAAUAUAUAUGUUAAGAAAAAACUGAACUUAACUGUUAUCAAGUCCAUUGUCAACAGGUUCCAAUUUCAAAAUGGUUUGGUUUUGUUUCAAAUUUCAAUAAACAUUAGAAUAAUGUCUGCAUUUUUUUUAGCUGCAACUUGGUAAAAUAUAAUAGCUUCAAUUGCAUUAGUAAAAUAAUAUCUUUAGAAUAUUAGCAUUUGACAUGACAUCCUUAAAUAAUAUGAAAAUAAAGUCUAUGUUAAGAAGUAAUACGAAAUGAUGGAUUUAACAUAGCUAGAUAAGUUUGGUAAUAUAAUUUUACUCAAUUUAUAUUGAUAUUUUUACAAUUUGUUAUUAUCUUGCAGAUUGACAUUCCUUAUCCUCUCCUAUAUUUUAUAUCUAAAAUACUUAAAGAGGAGUACUUUCCUAGAAAAAUUGCAUGUUUGUCUCACUUGGUAGCCAUUGAAAAUAUUAAGAAGAAAUUGACUAAACCACAAUUGGAGAUGUUUAGAAAAUCAUGUUCUAGUCAUUUUUUACUUUUUCUCGAACUUAGAUUUUCAGCCCAAAUUGUUCAUCAAUUGUUGUUACGCCAAUGUGAAACCAAAAAGACAAUGAAAUAUGGAUUUUAUUAAAGUCAAAGGGCUUAAGAUUUAGUAAAGAAAAGUUUGCAUUGAUUAGAAGCUUGAGUUUUGGUCCUAUUCCAAAAUGCAACUAAAAAUCAUUACUAAAAAGGGACACAUACUUUAAAGGAGAAAACAGGGUGCGUAAUAAUGAGUUGGAGAAAGUUUUCUUUUCUUUAGGAGAGGUAAAAAAAAAAUAAUAAGAAAAAAAAUAAUCUGAAGAUGAAGAGGUGAUAAAGUUGGCACUUUUGUAUUUUUUAAAGCAUGUUUUAUUUGGGAAAAAAAGGAAAAUUUUAAUAAAUAUGGAAUGGGUUGCUUUGGUUGAUAAUUUGGAGGCUUUUAACAAGUAUUUAUGGGAGGGAUUUGUUAUGAGAGGACACUAUUUGGUUUGCAAAGAGCUUUGGAGAACCGGGUAUCUAAAUACCAAGAGAAGAAGAAAGCAAAGGGAGAAGUUGUAGUUAAAGCAUAUAGUCUUGUUAGAUUUCCGUAUGCCUUCCAAGUUUGGGCAUACGAGGCUAUUCCACUUAUUGGAUUGAAAUAUGUCAGUCAUGUAUCUGGGAGCUAUCCCCAAAUAUUAAAUUGGAGUGCAACUAGUGCUCCAAGGUCUAUUAAGGUUGAAAAGGUAUUUCUAGAGCCUAAUGCAAGUAAUUCUUUACCUUUAAAUUUUACGAGUGCAAUUAUAAAUAUUAUUGUAUUAUUGUUUAUUAAUAAUUAUAUUUUAUUUGGAUUUUGUAGUUAACUUUUCAUUCACUCCUAACACCCACUUUAGAGGAGCAAUAACAAGAUUAUUGCAAGCAUGUAGAUAAACAAGGAGCUUCAGCAGAAAUGUUGCACCAAUCAAAUACCUCACAAGAUGCCAAGAAGGAUGACUUAAGGCAUGAAAAAAGCUCAUUUGACACUGCUACAUAUGUUGUUGCUGCUACUGCUACAAUGGCAGAAGAAACAACAAAUGAUGCAGUUGCCCCAUCAAUAGAGGUAACUUAACCUAAACUUAGCCAUUAUAAAUAAUGCAUGCAUGUUUUUUUUUUGAACUUUAUUUAAUAUAAGAUGUUCACUCCAUAAUUAACAUGUGGAACUUGACCUUGACUAGUGUUAAGUUCAUUAUAAAUAAACUUAUGGGAAGUUAAGUCUGCAAGGAUCAUGAAAAAACCUAAAUUUAACAAGUGUGUUAUUUCAAAGUGAACAAACUUGUCAUAUAUAUAUAUGUGCAAUAUGUGCAAAAAUUAUGGAUGGAGUUUGUGAAAUUCAGAUAAAGCUCAGAGUUAAAUUUCAAUCAUCUAAAGAAAGAAAUUAAAAGACUCAACUUGAAGAUGGAUGAAUUGAAACAACUUUUCUUAGAAGUUAGUGACAUGUUUACUAUGUUUAUAUUUUCUAAUACUUCAAUGUUUUGACAUUUGUGUUUUAUUGUAUUUAUUAUUAUUGGGUGGUGUAUGCAAUUUCAGGUUAAGAGUUCGAAUGAGGAACAUGUUAUGCAUGACACUAGAUUAAAAAAAUCUAGUACAAAGGAAAAUGACAACAAUAUGGGCUUUGAUUUCCAGACUAGAAUUUUUUAGGAUGUUAUAAAUGAUGAAGUGGAGAGGAAUGACAUUCCCAUGGAUGUGAACAUUGGCAUGGAAGCUUCUAGAAACCUUCAGCUUGUAGAAAAACACAUGACUAAAGAGUUGAAAGAUGAUUACUCUAAUGAUGAUCCGGUUAUUGAUAUUGUCAAGUUGUUUGGUACCCCAACUAUGUCGAGUGAGUUUUCAGUAUAUGUCAUACCUUACCAUCUAUCUCCUACCAUUUUUAAGUGAAGACAUGAGAUUAAAAAAUCUCGUAUUUUGCAGCACCCUUUUACAGAUCCCACCAAGAGAAAGAAACUAAGAAAAGAGAUUGAAGAAUCAUUAACUUUAUUUGGUCUUUUGCGUCCAACCUCUGAAGAAGCAUUAGAGUCCUUUCGAAAGUGGAUGAGUGAUGACCAAGGGUGAGUUGCAUAUAUCCAUACUUGUAAAUUUGUGUUCUUCACAAGUUAUAAAAUUACUAAUGUUUUUUUUUGCUUUGAUGUCAAAGGUCCACAAUUGAUAUUGACUACAUGCAUAUAGAUAAAAAAUGGUUUCAAUCACUGUCUAAUCAUGGUUCAUGGCUUGCUGACAUGGUUUGUAAAUGAUGCAUUUUGUUUUUAUUUUUAUUUAUUAUUAUGUUCAACUUACAACCAAAUAAUAUAACUAAUUUACUUUAUUGUAAUUGUUAGCACAUUGAUGUUGCCUUCUUUUUUUCUUGGAAACGACGAAUAGAAAAUCCUCAUAUUUUUUCCCAAAAGUUUACCACAGUGGAUACUAUGUUUUGGGUAUGUGUAGUUUGAAUUUUAGUUAUCAUUUUUAAUUUGUUAUAAUAAUGAAUCUUAUAAUCUUGGUUAUUUAUUUAUGCAUGUUAACUUUAUUCUAUGUAGCAAAAUACUCAAGCAAGAUGGAUUAAGCAUGAUAAGAAAUGGAACCAAUUCAAAUUACCAAAUAAUGACAUUCUUAUUGAUUAUGCUAAUGGUACGCAACCUCUUUAUUCUAUCAAAUGGCCUGAUGUUGACAUUAUGCAUGUUCCCAUCAAUGUUCGGGCUAGUCACUGGGUAUUAGGAGUUGUCCACAUUCGUCGAGGGAUUAUAUAUGUAUAUGACUCAUUGAUGGACAUCAAUAAUAAUGCAAGAUUGCAAGUUACCAUUAAACCAUUUGCCAAAUUGUUGCUGCAUAUAUUGAAUGUCAUAACAUAUUAUGGGUUUCAUGGUGACACAAAAGUUAACUACCAGGAAUAGGAAAUUAAACGAUUGCAAGAUAUUCCUCAACAGGAACAUGAGUAAGUGAUCUUAAAUUUACUUUCAUAUCUUAUACACUUAAUAUUUAAUAAUAACUCUAACAUUGAUUAUCUGUGUACCAUGCAGUGGUGACUGUGGCAUGUUUGUUGUCAAAUAUGUUGAAUACUUAAAUGUACAACCAUCCAUUGAAGUCAUUAACAAGUGCUCGAAUGGAUUGGUUUAGGGAAAAGAUGGUAGUAGAGUUAUUUUUUAUGAAAUACUUGCCUAUGUAAUGAAUUCAUGUUGAUAGUUCAUAUUUUGAUAAUGUAGUUGGAUGGUUUGUUAUAUGUAAUCGAAUUGCUUGAUAUAUGUAGUUAGACAUUUUGAUAAAUGUAGUUGGACAACUUGAUAUAUAUACUUGGAUAUUUUGAUGAAUGUAGUUCGAUAGUUAUGUAUACAAUUGACUUUUUAAGCUAAACUUGAUUGUUGUCAAGUUGUUUUGUCUACAAACUUGAAGGUAGUUAAGUCCACAGUCUUAAUAAAACACCUGAAUUUAACUAUUAUCAAGUUAACUAUGAACAAACUUAAAAGAUAUUAAGUCGAAGUCUAUUCCAAAAUAACAUAUUUAAUCUGGACUUAACAGGUAUCAAGUUGAUCUUGUAUAGACUCAUAGGAAGUUGUGUCUACAGUUGCCAUUUUAACCUGAACUUAACUAUUUUCAAGUUGUUUAAUGAACAAACUUGAAGGUAGUUAAGUCUACAGUCUUCAGACAAAACCUGAACUUAACUAUUGUCAAGUUGUUUUAUGUACAAACUUGAAGGUAGUUAAGUCUAUAGUCUUUAAACAAAACCUGAACUUAACUAUUGUCAAGUUGUUUUAUAUACAAACUUGAAGGUAGUUAAGUCCACAGUCUUUAGACAAAGCCUGAACUUAACUAUUUUCAAGUUGUUUUGUGCACAAACUUGAAGAUGGUUAAGUCAACAGUCUUUAGACAAAACUUGAACUUAACUAUUGUCAAGUUGUUUUAUGUACAAACUUAAAAGUAGUUAAGUCCAUAGUCUUCAUACAAAACCUAAACUUAUCUAUUGUCAAGUUCCUUAUCAAUAAACUUGAAGAUAGUUGAGUCCAUAGUUUGAGAAUAAACACACAAUUUUCAUUCAUACUUUAUACAUAACUCAUCAUAAUAUAUAUGUACAAAAGUAACAAAUAUCUUCAUUUCUAUGGGUAUGCAAAAAAAAAGGAUCAUUAUUACAGUAUUCAUCUAUGUGCUUAUCCUAUCACCUUAUACAAAAAAGUAACUUACAUUUCUGUUCACAUGGGUACCAAAAAAACAAAAAAGCUCACUAUUAUAAUUUUCAUUCUAUGUAAGUUCAUAGAAUGCCAAAGCUAUCAUGAUAUCAAGGGAUUGAUCGUUUGCAUGUUUUCCGAUUAUGCCCAUAUUGACCACAUCGACUACAACGAGAUGUGCGCUUACCCUUUUCACCAGAAGGAAUUCUUACUUUCCUUGGUCUUCUUAUUGGGGGUUUUAUUUUAGGUGGUAACACAACUUUGUUACGAAUGUAAUAAGGUAUUACCCAAUCUAUUUCAUUUCCAGUUGGAUAAAUACACUCUGAAUAUGAAGAUAACAAUGCUUUAGUAGUAAAAUACUGGGAGCACAAAGUGUAACAUGAAAUGUUGUAAAAUCUACAAGCAGCAAUAACAUGUGCACAUGGAAUAUGAUCAAGAUCAAAUUGACGACAUGUGCAUGAAUGAGUGUCUAAAUUCACUUGAGCACUAAUGCCAAUAUAUUUAACAUUACACUACUUGGAGUUGAUAGGUUCCAUUAGAUAUGUUGCUGACAUAUUAUACCUUGAACGAAGUUCUCCAUCAGCCCACAUGGUAAGUUAAGUUGACAUUAACAUUGCUUGUUGUUGACAAGUCACAAACCAUUUUUGAAGUAAGUUUCUCAAUUCUUUAACCAAUUGCAAAGCCGGAAGGUCUCUAGCAUUUUUCAACACAGCAUUAAGGCUUUCAACGAUCCUUGUCGUCAUGAUAUUAUUGUUAUCAGCUACACGUUCACCACUCUGAACAGGUCCAACACCUGACCAUGUCCUCCACCAACCAUCUCACUUCCCUACGGUUAAGGAGCAUGUUCUACAAACUGCUCAUAGUGGUGGCAAAUCAGAAGCAACGUGGUAUGAUGGGAAGUCACGUUAUAUAGAUCUCUCAUGGUCCCGAACUCGUCUCUCUGCUAUUUUUCCUUCAGUUAUACACCAUCUCAUAAGAGAGAUCAGAUCUUGGAAAUCUUAGACUUCACGAACUACAAUUCAGAAACAAUGGCUAGAGGUAAGUAGGUGAUCCUAAAUUUUUCAAAAAUGAUUUUUAUAGAUAAAGUUUCAUAUGCUUAGAUUGAAUAUAUUGCAUGAAAACUUCUUUUAUUUGGUAUUAGAGCAUCCUAAAUCUUAUCUUUGUCUUGUAUUGAUUUUUGCUUGAGAUACUUUGUUAUAUUUUAUGAUCUCUCAAUUACUACUUAAACAAUUGAAACACCCUUGCUUGGCAUGGGGAAUCUCUGCCCUUGAUGAUACCACAACUAAUGGUUCAUUGCUACUGCCACUGUAGUAUAAUUUUAAUAAAUCCGGCUCUGGAUGGUGAGCCUCCACCCAAUCUAUGAGUCAUGGCUUUAUAGAAAAGAACCCAUUUGCCAAACUUGGAGAUCGACUUCUCCUAAUUUCCCAAUUGAAAGCCACUGUCCGACGACUUUUCGAUAGAAAUACUGCACCAUUUCCGAAGUGGGUCUGCCUCCGGUACCUCCAUUUCUGAAGGUGACGAUGAUAAGGGCUAGUGAAGUAAUCUGGUGGGUGCGGUUUAAGAAGCCAUUGUGACUGUUCAUCGACCUCUAAAACAAUCACUCCCCUCCCCGCCCACCGUGCACAAUACCAGACCCACUACUCCACGCCACAGGCCUUCAUGGUAUCGAUAUAGGCUUGGAAGGGCUCGCGGGCAAACUCUCGUGGAGCUCACAUAGAGGCGGGGAUGAAGGAAUCGGGGCUGCACUUCUGCGGAAGCACCUCGACCCAAUUGUGGUGACUGUUGAUGCUGUCGCAACCAACCAUAUUGAUCUAGCUUGUGAUGGUGUCACGCAAAGCCUCCAUGGAGUGUUAUUGCUGCCCCUGGUAGAGACAAUGGUUGGGCUCGUGUUCGUAACACAAGGAGGUUGGCGGGAUGCAAAGUGGACUUCGUUUACCUAUGCGCUGGCUGCGAUGUUUGCCUACACGCCUCGCUGAAGCAUCGAUGGGGCUCUUUCUGCUAUGUGUUGUAGGCGGCUGCAUGGCUCCAAUGAUGGUGCAGUCUACGUGGGUGGCAACGAGCACGUCGCUACCGAUGAUGAAGCAGUCCACGGGGUGGCGGAAAAUAAGGAUGGUGGGUUUUAGUGCAAGUGUUAUUAAUUUGUUGAACCUAGAGGGAGAUUGGGUUCCACUAUUGUUUUGGGCCUUUAGAUAAAUUGUUGUUGGGCCCAUUAGGCUCAAUGCAUGUGCAAUGGCCUAUUUUUUUUUUUUUUUUUUUGUGCAAAAUAAGGGGCUUUAAGUGUUGGGCCAUGAGUUAAAUGAGAAAUUUGGGCCAGUUUAGGCCCUUUUGGCCCGAUUUGAAUUAUUUUUUAUUGGACUUCAAAUUUAUUGUGUUUUUAUAUGGAUUUGGGCACCCAAUCAUUAUCUGAAAUCCUUUCAAAUUAAUUCUAAAUUAUAUGUGUUUUUUAUACAUGAAAAUUAAAUUAUUUAUUUUAAUUUAUAUGUUUGUAUGUGUAAAAAUGUAGCCUAAAUUUGAGUUAGAUAAAUUAAAAGUUGUAGUUUUAAUUGCAUGCAAUUGUUGUCUAAAUUUGUGUUAGAUAUAUUAAAUUUAUAUCAUAUAGUUUUAAUGUCUAGUGAACCAUAUAAUUUUAAAUAAUUAAGGCAUAGCCAUAGCAUCCUUAAUUAUAUAAAAUUAUAUAUUAAGAAAAUAGGGAUCACAUUAUGGACAUUAAUUGUAAAUAUUAUGAUUUUACCCUAUAGGGAUUUCAUUAUGUUUAUAUAAUUAAUUAGGAUAAAAUAUUAAAAUUAAUUUUUCCUAAUUUAUCCACAUGAGUUAGGAAAAAUUAAUUUAAUAGGUUUAUCAUAAAGCUUAUAGGUAGAAAAUAUCAAACUAUAUUCAUAAUAAAUUUCAUAAAUUCAGUAAAAUAGUUUGAUAAAAUCUAUCAUAAAGAUAAUGAAUCUGAUUGAAUUAAAGAUUUAGCCCACAUGCAAUUUUUAAUAAAAUUAUAUUCAAUUUUUAAGUGUGUUCUACAUUGGUAAAACAUGAAUUUAAAUUAAAGCCUCAAAGUUUUAUAAGCUUGUAAUCUUUUUGUGCAAUUUUACCUAGCAUAUUUGAUAUUCGUUGUGAGGUUCCCAAACACAGGGGAGAUGAUUACUAUUAAAAAAGAGCAUAUUUUAGAUAAUAAUUCUCAUGAGUUUCACGUCUUUUGAGUAGUAAGUAUGCCUAAAAUACUCAAUUAACAUGUUGUUGCCCUUGCAAGAGUUACUAACAAGUUUUCUGAAGUUUUGGAGUCAUUUCAAGGUAUGUUUUUGAUAAAUUGGUGACAAAAGAAAUGAAUCAAAUUGAAGAAAAUAAAUAAAGUUGAUGAUGAUCCAAACACAUAAUGAAAAAAGCAAUGCAGUCGGUUUGGAUCGGGAUUUGGAGUUGAUUUGGAGGUAGUUGAAGUGGAAUCAAGAGAAAGAAAUGGGAGAAAUUGCAAAGAGGAGUCGAAAAAAACAUGUUUUUCAAUUUCGCAUGGUCAUGUGAAAUGAAACAGAAUAGGCUUGGUUGCAGCACAUAAGGGAAAUGUGAAAAGUGGUUUCGCAUUACCAUGCGAAAUUUUUGCACAGUCAUGCAAAAUGCUCCAGCAAGACGAAAAUGCAGCUGAUGGAUUUUCCACUUCACAUCAUCAUGCGAAAUUGCUAGGGGCUCGUGCCAAAAUGUAUUUUCUCCAGGUUCCUUGAUGAAGAAGCCUCCGGAAGACCUCUUAGAUGAUGCCAAGUGUCCACUUAACCUUGGCCUAUAAAUAGAAACGUGAUUGACUCAUUUAAAGACUUUUGAUACAUUUUCUAAUUGUAAAACUUUUCAUAUUUCUUUUCUCUAUAUAAUUAUCUACUUUCCUUCAUUUUCUCGGUAGCCAAACAUGUCUUGUGAGAUCAAAUCUCCAAGCAUGAGUGGCUAAAUCUCGUUUUUCUCGGAGUAUGGAGAAUCUAGAGGUAAGAUCUAUGGUGAAUGAGAGAAUUGAGCUUGAAUUGCAAAGGUAAUUUGAUCCAAUUGAUUGAUUAAUUGAAAUUUGGGGAUUUUUUUGUUCAAAUUGUCUUGGAUGAUUACUACAAUGCAAGCUAGGUAGAUUAAUUAAAUUCUUAAUGCUAGAUUUAAUGAGAUUGAAUAGUUGCUUUGUGUGAAUCAUUGGAAGAUAAUUUAAGAUGAAUUGAAUAUAUGAUUCCAAUUGAUCUCUUAGAUUAGAUUACCUAAUUUGAAGAGAAAUUAGAUCUAGACCUAAAGCUAAAUCAAAAAUCGGUUUAGAUGAAAAUUUAGGUUUUCAAUCUAACUUGAUGAAAAUUAGAUCUCAACACUUAUUCACCAUGGAAAUUGCUUUCUAGAAAAUCCUAACUCAGAGAAUCUCACAUCUUAUUAAUUUUCUUCUCUUUUACACUUCAUUUUCCUUUCAAUUUGAAUACAUUGUUAUCUUGAGAUUUUAUCAUGCAAUUUCAAGUCAAUUUCAAUUUAUCACAAUCAUUUCUUAUCAUCUCAUUCAAGCUUUAAUUACCGAGAAUAAUCUAUCCUUGUGGACAAUACCUAAAUACCACUAUACUACAAUAGUUUGUACUAAACCCACUUUUUGAUCGGGUACAAAUUGCUAUAGAAUAGUGAAUUAGGUUAUAAAUUUUGUUUUGAUCCAACAAACGACAAAAUCUGAGCGAUCAGGAGAUAACUUUAAGAUAUGGAAUGAGAGAAUUAUUCUUCAAUUAGGGUACAUGGACAUAGACUAUGCCAUAAGAAAAGAUGAACCACAUAAGAUCACUGAUACCAGCAAACUUGAUGAAAUUCUAUUGUACAAAUGCUGGGAGAAAUCUAAUUGCCAUAACGUGAUGUACAUUAAGACAAAAAUUAGUGUUGGUAUACAUAGUUCAAUCGAGCAACAUGAGAAUGUCCGUUUGACGAGCAAUUCGUCACUUCAGAUAAAGCCUUGGCAAGCACCCUAAUUAUGAAGUUCACAUCCCUAAAACUCACCGGUAUAAAAGGUGUACGCGAACAUAUCAUGGAGAUGAGAGAUAUAGUGGCUCAAUUAAAGAAGCUCGAGGUAGAAAUGUCUGAAUCCUUCUUGGUACACUUUAUCCUUAACACUCUUCCACCUUAGUAUGGACCUUUCAAAAUCUCUUACAACACACAUAAGGAUAAGUGGUCUAUCAAUGAAUUGAUGACCAUGUGUGUUCAAGAGUAAGGAAGGUUAAUGAUGGAAUAAGGAGAAAGUGUCAUGCUAGUGACUCAAAAGAAAGGAAAGAAAGGAAAAUCUUAAGCCAGUCAGAAAGGGAAGCAACAAAUUCCUCCCAAAUCUGACAUUAAGAAAAAUGAAAAAUGUUUUUUUUGUAAAAAGAAAGGACACGUGAAGAAGAAAUGUCCGAAAUUCCAGAAAUGGCUUGAGAAGAAAGGUAAUCUUACCUCAUUUGUUUGUUAUGAAUCUAAUAUGAUUAAUGUAAAUACCAACACAUGGUGGAUUGAUUAUGGAUCUACAAUCUACAUUUCAAAUUCCUUGCAGGGUAUGCAAAACCUAAGGAAGCCAAUGAGAAGUGAGCAAUUCAUCUUAUUCGGAAACAAGAUGGGCUUGCAUGUGGAAGAGAUAAGGACAUGUUAUUUAACUUUUAAUGAUGGUUUUGUUUUGGAAUUGCAAAGGACCUUUUAUGUACCAAGUUUCUCACGAAACUUGAUUUCAAUUUCUAGACUUGUACCGUUUGGAUAUUCCUUUCAUUUUUCAGAAACAUCUUUCAGUUUGAUUUAUAAAUCUGAUUGUGUUGGGAAUGGUAUUUUGUCUGAUGGUCAUUAUUGCAUAUUCUUACAAAAUGAUAUCACUCAUAAUUCAUUACAUGUCCAAACUGGCAUUAAGAGAUAUGUUGUAAAUAAGGAUUCCUCUACAUCGUGGCACCGGAGAUUAAGUCAUAUCUCCAUAGAUAGAAUCAAAAGGUUGGUGAAUGAUGGGUACUUAGUACUCUAGAUUUUACUGACUUUGAGACUUGUGUGGACUGCAUUAAGGGAAAGCAAACCAACAAGUCAAAGAGAGGUGCUACUAGGAGUUCCGCCAUACUAGAGAUCAUACAUACUAAUAUAUGUAGUCUUGACAUGGACUCUCAUGGUCAGAAAUACUUCAUCACUUUCAUAGAUGAUUUCUCAUGAUACAUGUAUUUCUACAUACUUCAUAACAAAAAUGAAGCAUUAGAUGUCUUUAAAGUUUUCAAGGUAGAAGUAGAGAAACAAUGUGGUAAACAAAUUAAGAUCGUGAGAUCAGAUAGAUGUGGAGAAUAUUAUGGUAGAUACUUGGAAUAUGGACAAACACCUGGGCCAUUUGCGAAGUUUCUUCAAGAGCAUGGGAUUGUUGCCCAAUACACCAUGCUUGGUUCUCCAUACCAAAAUGGUGUAGCAGAAAGAAGAAACCGAACUUUAUUAGACAUGGUGAGGAGUAUGCUUAGCAGUUUAAAAAUUUCUAAAUUAUUAUGGACUGAAGCACUUAAAAUAGCAGUGUAUAUAUUAAAUCGAGUUCCAACCAACGUUGUCCCAAAGACGCCAUUUGAGUUAUGGAAAGAUUAGAAAUCAAGUUUGCAACAUAUGCACGUUUGGGGAUGCUCGUCUGAAGUGAGAAUUUAUAAUCCAUAAGAAAAGAAACUGGACCCAAGGACUAUUAGUGGGUAUUUCAUUGGAUAUGCUGAAAAGUCUAAGGGAUACAUAUUUUAUUGUCCAUCUCACAGCACUAGGAUUGUGGAAUCAAGAAAUGCUAAAUUUCUUGAAUAUGACUUGGUCAGUGGGAGCGAUCAAUUUAGAAACAUAGUUUUUGAUAUUGAUCACACAUAGUCUUAACUUUCCACUUCAAGUGAUAGAUUGUUUGUUGGUCAUAACACCCCCUCAAGUUCAAACGGGUGUAGAACGAACAAUUGCUGAAGUUCAACCAGUCAUUGAAGUUCCACAAGUUAUUGACAACAUUUCAAUAGAUCAAGUCGAUCAAGAGUUGCCUGACACUUCUAAACAACAAGUUGAACCUCAUGCUUCUCUAGAAGAUAAUGGUGCAACCUUAAGAAGGUCUACUCGAACUAAGAGGUCAACAAUUCCUAGUGAUUAUGUAGUGUAUCUAUAAGAAUUUGACUACAAUAUAGGAGCCGAAAAUGAUCCUGAAUCAUUUUCACAAGCCAUGAGUUGCAAAGAAUCGGAAUUGUGGUACAAUGCCAUGAAAGAUGAGAUGAGUUCCAUGAAAUGCAACAAUGUUUGGGACCUUGUUGAGUUGCCUAAUGGUGUAAAAGCCAUUGGCAGUAAAUGGGUUUUUAAGACAAAGAAAGACUCAUUAGGCAACAUUGAGAGAUACAAGGCUAGAUUUGUUGCAAAGGGGUUCACUCAGAAAGAAUGAAUCGAUUACAGGGAAACCUUUUCUCCUAUAUCUAAGAAAGAUUCCUUGCGUAUUAUAUUGACAUUAGUAGCCCACUUUGAUUUGGAAUUUCAAAAAAUGGAUGUGAAAACAACAUUUCUUAAUGGAGAGCUAGAAGAGGAAGUUUACAUGAAACAACUUGAAGGAUUCCCCUCUAGUGAUGGUAAGCAAUUGGUUUGCAAGCUUAAGAAAUCCAUAUACUGUUUAAAACAAGCAUCCUACCAAUGGUAUUUAAAAUUCCAUAACAUAAUUUCUUCAUUUGGUUUUGUAGAAAAUGUUAUAGAUCAAUGCAUAUACUUUAAGGUCAGUGGGAGUAAAGUUUGUUUUCUUGUUUUAUACGUGGAUGACAUCUUACUUGCAACCAAUGAUAAGGGUUUACUUCAUGAGGUGAAACAAUUCCUCUCUAAAAAUUUUGACAUGAAAGAUAUGGGUGAGGCAUCUUAUGUCAUUGACAUUAAGAUCCAUAGAGACAAAUUUCAAGGUAUCUUAGGUCUGUCUCAGGAAACCUAUAUCAAUAAAGUUUUAGAGAGAUUUUGGAUGAAAGAUUGUUCACCUAGUGUUUCCCCUAUAGUGAAGGGAGAUAGGUUCAAUCUGAACCAAUGCUAGAAAAAUGAUCUUGAGAGGGAACAAAUGAAGAAUAUUCCAUAUGCUUCUGCAGUCGGAAGUUUGAUGUAUGCUCAGGUCUGCACAAGGCCUGACAUUACAUUUGUUGUUGGAAUGUUAGGAUGAUAUAAAAGUAACCCAGGUUUGGACCACUGGAAAGCUAUAAAGAAAGUGAUGAGAUAUCUUCAAGGAACCAAAUAUUACAAGCUUAUGUACAGACGAACAAACAAUUUAGAGGUUGUUGGCUACUCAGAUUCAAACUUUGCUGGCUAUGUUGAUUUGCGUAAAUCAACAUCUGGAUACAUUUUUAUAUUGGCUGGUAGAGCUAUAUCUUGGAGGAGUGUUAAGCAGAUCUUGACUGCUACUUCUACUAUGGAAGCUGAGUUCAUAUCUUGUUUUAAGGCUACUUCACAUGGUGUAUGGCUUUAAAGUUUCAUUUUCGGGCUUAGAGUUAUGGAUUCAAUAUCUAGGCCAUUAAGUAUAUAUUGCGACAAUUCAGUUGUAGUCGUUAUGGCGAAGAACAAUAAAAGUGGAAGUCAAAGCAAGCACAUCAACAUUAAGUAUCUAGCCAUAAGAGAACGUGUUAAAGAAAAAAAAGUGGUUAUUGAGCACAUUAGCAUUGAAUUGAUGAUCGUUGAUCCUUUGACUAAGGGCAUGCCACUGUUGAAAUUCAAGGAUCAUGUAGUGAACAUGGGACUUAGUUCCCUUAUAUAGUUUCUAUUGUACAAACUCUUCUUAUGAUGUUUUCUCAUAUUGAUGUGCACCUUUACUUAAUUUUGAGAAAAUUUAACUUCAUUGGACCAAGAAUGAACAUAGGGUUUAUUCAUUAAGUAAUAUUGCCACAUAAAGUAUAAUGUUAAUAAAUAAAUACACUGUAAUACAUGGAAGGUAACACUUGUUAUAUAGAGGAAUUAUCGCCAUGAUCCAUGUAUUUGUUACUUAAUGCGGAUAAUUGAUGGACUAAGAUAGGACAUUAGGUUAAAGGUGUGGACCAAGUAGGAGAAUGUUAUCAGCUACACGUUCACCACUUUGAACUGGUCCAACACCUGACCAUGUCCUUCACCAACCAUCUCACUUCCCUACGGUUAAGGAGUAUGUUCUACAAACUACUCAUAAUGGUGGCAAAUCAAAAGCAACGUGGUAUGAUGGGAAGCCACGUUAUAUAGAUCUCUCAUGGUCCUGAACUCGUCUCUCUGUCGUUUUUUCUUCAGUUAUACACCAUCUCAUAAGAGAGAUCAGAGUUUGGAAAUCUAAGACUUCACCAACUACAAUUCAGAAACAAUGGCUGGAGGUAAGUAGAUGAUCUUAAAUUUUUCAAAAAUUAUUUUUAUAGCAGAAGUUUCAUAUGCUUGGAUUGAAUAUAUUACAAGAAAACUUCUUUCAAUUAUAUUUUUUUCCGAUAAAACAUGAACGUGCCCAUCGAUCAACUCCUAUGUCCAUCAAAUAUCUUACUACUCUUAGGUUAAUCAUCUCUAGUUGCCCAAAGAUAAAAUUAAACUUUGAAACACAAUAAGCAUGGGUAGCAUCAUGGAACAACUUAUGAAUUAUAGGAUUCUUGAACUUUGUUUUCAAAUUUUAUCUAAUGUGAUAAGUGCAGACACCAUGCCUAGCAUGGGGAAAUACUUUAUGUACUACUUUCUCAAUGCUACCAUGUCGAUCUGAUAUCACAAACAAAUCAUCAAUGUGUUCAAUUGCAUCAUGCAAUUUUUGUAAAAAUCACUCCCAUGAGGCUUCAUUUUUUGAAUCACCAAUCCCAAAGGCUAAAGGGUACAUUUGAUUGUUGUCAUCUUUACACGCUGCAAUAAAUAAAGUCCUUAAGUAUUUUGCUUUAAAAAAUGUCCCAUCAACUGCAACCACAGGCUUUAUUGAUGUGUGAAACAAAAGAUGCACCAAUCGACAUAAAAAGUAUUUGAACUGAUUAUCAUGAUCAGUAACUAUAUCAAUAAUGAUACCAGGAUUUUUUUGCUCUAAAACAUAGCAAUAGGAUGGUAAAGUGUUAUAAGACUCCUUAGGUGAUCCCCUAAUAGAACCUAGAGCAAGUUCUCUGGCUUUCCACAUCUUAUCAUAAUUGAUUUGAAUGUCAUACUGCUUUUGAAUGUCUAUUACAAUGUCUUUUGGUCGAAAUUCACAACCAACCUCUUGAUAUGUUUCUCUUAUACUCUCACCAAUCAACCAACUACUUGCAUGUCGAUUGUCACGAGACAUCAUAUCUAACCAACAAGUGUGUGUUGAAUAGUAUUUCAUUAUUUGAAACAUAUUGAAAAUCCCCAACUUGGUAGCACGAACUCGCCACUUGCAUUCUUAUCAAAACAUUCAACAAGCAAUAAUUUAGUAGUGGAUUUAGUUGUUUUGAACUCAAACUUCAUUUUGAGAGCCAUCAUAUAUAACUUCCUUUGUAAUUCUUUCUUACUUGAGUAUAUUUGGAGUUCUUCUAGAUGGUCAUCACUAAUUCCACUAACUAUAGUUUGUUGCAUCAUGUUUUGUCCUUCAUGUGCUACACCUUCAAUUAUAGUGGGAUUGUCAUGCAUGAAACCAUCAUUUGUAUCAAUCAUGGUCAAGAUUUUUGCACUCUAAGCUGAACCAGUUUUGAAUGAGCCAAUUUGGGUCACUUGCUUAUCAUUAGUAGGGUUAGUGUCCAUUCUAUAAUCCUCCCCAUUAAUUGUAGUCUCAUUCAUGUUCCAAUCAUGAACUUUAUACCCUUCAAGUGACUCAUUUUGAAAUCUUGGUCCAUUUUCACCAUCAACAGUAAGAGUUUCAACUAACUCACAAUGAAUGUGUCUACUUUUAUGUAUCAACAUUGAGUCAUCGUUCAAUUCUUUAUCAAUCUCAGAAGACAUAUGAUAUUUGAAAUAAGAAUUGCAAAUUGAUUUCUGACUGUGAUUAUCAAUUCUCUUUUCAACUGUGAUGCACAAUGGAAUAGGCAUCUUACCAUUUGUACAAUUUAAACCAAUAAAGAAUUUCACAUCCCCAUCAUCGGUUAGUUGUAUAGGACUUGUGGGUAUGUUGGCAUUGAAUACAUAUUUCAUAGAAAAAAAACAAUUCGUUGGAUCUAGCUUCAGAAUAUGAUGGACAACCCCUAAUAACUCUUUAUAUGAUAUGGUUUUCAGGACCUCAAUGUCUUUACCUAUACUUCCUUCGAAAUAGAAAGCAUUUCCAUCUCGAACCCAUUCUCCUUCAAAUAAAAGCAUUAUUCCUACUUCAUCAACCAUUGAAAUAACAAAAUAAUUCAAUUAUUGGCAUCAACAUACAAUAUUAGAAUAUUUUUUUAGUUACAUCAUAGCAUUACCAUCAAUAAGUAGGUAUUAAUUUUAAAAAACUCAUUCAUUAUUAAAUACAUAUUAUUUCAUUACACAUAUUUAUUUUUUUAAUAAACAACAAAUAAAUAAUAUUAUUAAUCAUCUUUACUACCUCAAAUAAUACCAAUAAUGCUAUAGAAAUACAAUGUAUAUAGUUAUUAAAUAAAUUCAGAUAUUGUAACUCUCAACUAUUUUAAACAAUAAAAAUAUAUUUAUUUACUAAAAGAUUGGUUAUGUUGUAAUUCAUUUAAUGUCAAGAGUAAUUUGCAAAUGAUUCAACUCAAAUUGAGUAUAACUAAAUAAAAUAACAGUAAUAUAAUGUUACUAUAAAGUAACUAUAUAUAAUCUUAACUUACAUCAAGUUCAACUUAACAGACGUCAAGUUCAACUUAAUAUCCGUAAGGUUUUGGUAUAUAACUAAAAAAGAUAACUUUAUAUAUUAUAUCAAAACCCUAUUAACACAUAUAUUUACAUCUAUAUAAAGAAUAAAUAUGCAAACAAUACCAAAACCAUUAUAAAAUUCCAUAAGUUUUAUUACUUACCAUCAUUUGAUUUUUUCAUAUGGACAAUGUUUCUCUACACUACACUUUUAAGCUGAUUGUUUCCUUCUUUUAACCCAUUUUUUCAUGGCUAUAAAUGAUAUUAAAAAAUUAUAACAAUUUCAAACUUAUUUAAAUAUUUACUACAUCUCAUUAAAUGUUUGAAAAUAUUCAAUAAAUAAAACAUGAAAGAAAAAAAUAAAAUAAAUGUACACUAUUUAUCAAGUCAUAACUUUAAGCACUGUUUAUCCAAUGACAACUUUAAACGCUUUAAGUUGAAGAAAUUUGAAGAGAAAGUAUGUGUGAAAUUUGAAGAAAUGUAUUGACAAAAGAGAAACGGGAAUAAUAGGAGAAAAAAAAAACGUGGAAGAAAGAAUAAAAAAGAGUUGAAAUGAGGGAAAUAAAAUUAGAAUAGAUGGGAAAAAGGAUUUGAUCCAGCUCAGGGGUAUUUUUGUCUAAAUUGGGUCAUUUUGGAGGCUAUUAAAAGUGUAGAGUUAGUUUUACAAUAUUGAGAUAUUUUUGCCCCUUUUAAUCAGUUAUCCCUAAAAUAAAUAUAAUAUAUGAUUUUAUUAUAAAAUUAUUAUUAAUGUUUUACUAAAAACUAUUUAUCUUUUAAUUUAUUUGUAAUUAUAAAACUUUUUUUUUUUAAUUUUAAUAAGACUUGAAUUAAGUUUAAUAAUAUUAUAUAAGUUGAAUAUUUAAUGUUUUUAUAAAAUCAAAACAAAAAAAAUUAUUUUUAAAAAAAACUUAUCCAAACAAAUUUUUUAUUUUUUAUUUUUAAAAACUAUGUUUAAAACCAACUUACCAAAUACCCUUAUUACCGGCUUUUACCUUCAAAAUGGCGUGAAGUUAGGACAAGGAGUCAAGCUGAAGCUGUACAAUUGAAAUCCCCGCGACGACGAUCAUGAUGAAGAUAAUGACAAGGGCGACAAUGGCUUCUUCUUCUCCUGGUUCCGGUACAUGCAUGCUUUCUCUUCCUCCCCAUUUCUUGUCUUCAUCACAAAAUAACUUUCAGUCGAAAUCCCUUCAUUUUAAUACCCUCGAUGAUGCCCUCUCUUCUUUUCAUCGAAUGCUUCAUAUGCAUCCUCCUCCCCCCAUCUUUGAAUUCGCUAAACUUUUAACCUCCAUCGCUAAAAUGAAACACUACUCCACUGUGCUUUCUCUUUCCAAGAAAAUGGAUUCUUUUGGAAUUCCACCUGAUGUUUACACUCUCACCAUCGUCAUCAACUCUUUCUGCCAUUUGAAUCGGGUGGACUUCGCUUUAUCCGUUUUAGCCAAAAUCCUCAAACUUGGGCAUCAACCCGACACCGCAACCUUCACCACUCUGGUUAGGGGGCUCUGUGUUGUGGGUAAAAUUGGUGAAGCCCUCGACGUGUUUGAUAAAAUGGUUGGGGAAGGUUUUCAACCCAAUGUAGUCACUUAUGGAACUCUGAUGAACGGGUUAUGCAAAGUGGGCAACACUAGUGCCGCCAUCAGGUUACUUAGGAGCAUGGUACAAAAAUGUUGUCAGCCUAAUUUAAUUGCUUAUAACACCAUCAUUGAUAGCCUUUGUAAGGAUAGACAACUAACUGAGGCUCUCAACCUUUUCUCUGAGAUGAUCGCUAAAGGCAUUUCACCUGAUAUUUUUACUUACAACUCAUUAAUUCACGCUCUGUGUAAUUUAUGUGAGUGGAAACAUGUCACAACACUGCUCAAUGAAAUGGUAAAGAGCAAGAUAAUGCCAAAUGUAGUUAGUUUAAAUAUAGUGGUGGAUGCACUCUGUAAAGAAGGAAAGGUCACAGAGGCACAUGAUGUAGUCGACAUGAUGAUUCAAGGAGGUGUGGAGCCUGAUGUAGUUACCUACGCUGCAUUGAUGGAUGGACACUGUUUGCGAUCUGAAAUGGACGAGGCAGUUAAAGUAUUUGAUAUGAUGGUUCGAAAUGGCUGUGUGUGUAAUGUUGUCAGCUAUAACACCUUAAUCAAUGGUUAUUGCAAGAUUCAAAGGAUAGAUAAGGCCAUGUAUCUCUUUGAAGAAAUGUGUCGACAAGAAUUGAUUCCUAACACCAUGACUUACAGCACUCUUAUACAUGGCUUGUGCCAUGUGGGAAGACUCCAGGAUGCAAUAGCACUUUUUAAUGAGAUGGUAGCUUGUGGCCAAAUUCCAAAUCUUGUUACUUACAGCAUUUUAUUGGACUAUCUAUGCAAAAAUCAUCGUCUUGCUGAAGCUAUGGCUUUGUUGAAAGCUAUUGAAGGCAGUAAUUUGGAUCCAGAUGUACAAGUUUAUAAUAUUGCCAUUGAUGGGAUGUGUAGAGCUGGUGACCUUGAAGCUGCAAGGGACCUCUUUUCUAAUCUUGCCCCCAGAGGUUUGCAGCCUGAUGUUUGGACUCAUAAUAUUAUGAUCCGUGGGCUUUGUAAAAGAGGGUUAUUAGAUGAGGCAAGUAAGUUAUUUAGGGAAAUGGAUGAGAAUGGUUGCUUGCGGAAUGGUUGCACUUACAAUACAAUUACCCAAGGACUUUUACAAAAUAAUAAGACAUCAAGAGCAAUUCAACUUCUUGAAGAAAUGCUUGCAAGGGGAUUUUCUGCUGAUGUGUCCACCACCGCAUUGUUGGUGAAAAUGUUAUCUGAUGAUGGAUUGGAUCAAUCUGUAAAACAAAUUCUAUGUGAGUUCAUGCGGUGAAGAGUUAUGAUAUUCAUCAACUCUAAAUAUGAAAUUUUUGGAGGGUCUCACUCUUUCUUGUAGUUGGGUAAUUGUUAAUAUCACUUGUAAGUUACAGUUAUACUUGUGUGUAAUAUUGUUGCAACUUUUAUAAAUAUUUGUUGUUCUCUCAGUACAGUCAAUAUUUUCAAAACUGUAGUAUGUAGGAUAUUAGUGAUAGCAUUCCUUUUUGUCUUGCAAAAAGCAAAUGUCAAAUCUGAAGGAUGUCAUCUUUUGUUAUAUUUUAUCAGCAGAUUCUAAAAUUUUAAGAUUUUUCUUUAAUGAAGGAUGUGAUAUUUUGUUAUGCUUAAUCAGAGACUGAUAUCUCAGCAACCUUACGUAUUAGUUAGUCAACAUUGUUUUUAUACAUGUGAACACAUAAAUGAUUUUGAUAUGUAAAUCUAACUUGCUUUCUUUAGUCUUACUCAGGUAAAUAAUGCAUAUAUUGGGGUAAUACUUUCCUCUCCUCCAUUCUCUAUCUUUCUUUCUCUAGCUUCAACCUACUGACUAUUGAUAUCAAAGGUACUCGAUGUAAUGGUGCUUAAUUGCGAUGCAGGUGCGAUAUUCAUUCCUCCAUAUGCACGGAGAAUAUCACAAAGAUCUGGUGUUUAUUUUUUUAUUUUUUUAUUGCAGGCACUAGAUUCAUUCUUCCAUAUGUUUAGAGAAUUUCCAGGGAACUCCUUUUCUUAUUCUAUAUCUGGGAGCUCCCAAAGUGCAGACCAGAAAAUUUGGACCUUAGAGUUAAAAGUGUAUCCUCAAACAUGUCUAUGUUCCUCAUCCCUUCUUGUGAAUAUUACUUAAUGCGGGUUUGUUUCCUACUUUACCUCUUUGCUUUGUCUUGUAGUAACUUGCAUAAUGCAUGCUUUAUUAUGAAAAACCCUGAUACCUACCUAUCAAAAAAAAAAAAAAAAAACCUGAUAAGUUAUAACCAGAAUUUGGCCUUUGUUCUCCGUCCUGGCAUAGGAGUGUAUCUUAUACUUUGUUGCAUGUUAUAUCCAAAUCCCUCAUCUAAGGAGCCUAUUCUUUUAGGAUAUGAAUGUGAGUGCGAUGAUGAAUGUGAAACAAUGGGUAAUACUUUAGUUCCUUCUCCUUGUGUGGUGCUUUCACAUUGUCAACUACCUUGUUGCUUGAUAAGAGAUGAGGAUGGACUAUGAGAGACAUCCAAUAAUGUUGUUACUCAUCCUAGUCCAACUCAAGAAGUGGACAAUUGCCUAUAUAAUAGGUUAGAUGAUAGUGAGAUUGUGAAUAAAUUAAUUUUAUGCUUUGAGCUUAAUUAGGGAAAAAAGAUGUCAAGUCCUCAUAUUUUCUGGCGUUUAAGUUGAACUUGAAAAGAAAUUGGUGUAAGGUUUAUGUUGAGAGUAUGGAUGUUUUAUCUAUUUGUUUUUGUUAUUUUCAGUGGGGGGUGUUGUUGUAAUUACAUCUUUUUAAUAUAAAUUGAUAGAAUAAAAGGGAGAAACCUACUCUCUCUUCCUAUUCUGUACAUGGAAUUAGCAGCCAGUACCUUUAUGGGCAACAUGGAAGGGGUCUCCUUUAAACAUCCAGCCAUAUUUUUAUUGCUAUAUUCCGUAAGCCUUUUCUUUGCAAUAUCAUCAAGUUCUUCCAGUUCUUGUUUUGGACCUUUUGCUUGGGGCCCCAUUUUAUGGAUAUCCACACCUAGCCCCUUGUGAUAGAGAUCAACUCCUACCCAUAUGGUGUCUGCUGCCUUCCUGAUGUUGAUCAGUUCUUUGGCAUCAAGGUUAUGGUUUUUGAGCCUGACAGAACUUAGGCCUUCAUUUACGCUCCGCAUAAAAUGUUUGAUUGGACAUUUGCCAAUGUUAGGGAGCGCGACUGCACUGGUUGUUGGUGUCACAACAGGAUAAGCCCAACAAUUAAGAGGCCCUUCAUAAUCUAGAGAAGGAACUUUAUCACUGUCAAAUGUUUCUACUCCUUUGAAUCCUUGUGAAGGCAUAUGUUUCUCCAGCAGUUUCACGAGAUAAUUUUUGCUGAGUUUUUUUUCGCAUAUGUAUCCAACAAUCAGUAGCAUUACAAUUGCUCUCUGUGAUCAGCUCAACCAGAUCUUCCUCUCCUUCAAGAUACAAAACAAAAGGGCUUAAAUCCAGCUUCAGAUUGGGCUGCAACUCUGACCCAGAUUCAUUAUUGGAAAUGCUGCUAUUCUGUUUAAGCUUCCUUCUUGAUUCCUUGCACCAGAAGGAGAAUUCCAACAACCGGCGUGCAAAGAAUAUGGAAAUGAACCUCACUGCUUUACUCACCAACACUAUGCCUGUCUGCAUCCUGAUACAGAAGUCUGCAAGUAGGUUUCUUGUGUCAUGCCAAGUUUCCUACAGAGCCAACUAUGGAUUGGUAAACUUAUUGGGCACUCUCUCCACUCUACCUUCCUCUGGAUCCAGUAUUUCUUUACCUUGAACUCAUCUUUGAAGCUUUUUUUCCCUUUCUUUGGACAUCUAAAACUUAUGUCAAUGAAUCAUCUAAAAAUGCUGGGCCAAGAGUACCCACUCCCACUCCCACUGCAAUAGUCUGACCAAUGAGAAUUGAAGUGCCUGAAAUCAGACUCGCCACUGCAAAAUUUGAAGGACCAGGGCAUCAGCUAAGAUCGAAGCCAUGCUUCCACACAUUGUAGCACUCAGGCGACUUAGUGCCCCAGAAGUACAUGUCACUGAGCGCCCUAUCACAAAUUGGGGGCAGCAGGUAUGAGCCAUGGUCCAAUAUUUCAUUGGGUCUUCUCAGAGUUUCUGAAACACAGAUAUGUCUGUUUCGUUGGAGCUUUAUACAGCUAUUUCAUAUUUUUUGCGGUACUUAAAUUCAAAAUAAUGCUUUGUAGUUGGAAUCCCGCUAGUUCCCAUUGGGAUGCAGAUGUUUGAGUUUAAGACCAAAAUAAUUUAUUUGUAAAAAAAAAAAAGGUAGAAUAAUACCCAUUUCAAAAUAUUUGUCAAAGUAAUAUUUUUUAUCCACGUAAGCAUCCACAUGGAUUUUUAUUCUUUAAGUGUAAAAAACCACCGUUGAUGACUGUGGUUUUAAAACUUACAAAAAUAUCCUUAAAACUACAAUUACAAAUUGUGGUUUUACAAUUUCUCUUAGAACCAUAGUUAGUAACUGUGGUUUUAAAAGUUACAGAAAUAUCCUUAAAACCACAAUUACAAACUGUGGUUUUACAAUUUCCCUUAAAACCACAGUUCUAUGGUUUUACAAUUAUUUUUAAUCCGCAUCUAUUUUAAUGGUGUUGUAAUUUUAAUAUUAUUUUUAAAAUUUUUUUUUUAUCAAAAUAACCAUAAAACCAUAGUUAGUAACUGUGGUUUUACAAUUAUUUUCAAUCCACGUCUAUUUUAAUGGUGUUGUAAUUUUAAUAUUAUUUUUAAAAUAUUUUUUUAUCAAAAUAACCAUAAAACCACAAUUAGUAACUGUGGUUUUACAAUUAUUUUUAAUCAACGUCUAUUUUAAUGGUGUUGUAAUUUUAAUAUUAUUUUUAAAAUAUUUUUUUAUCAAAAUAACCAUAAAACCACAGUUAGUAACUGUGGUUUUAAAAAUGUUAUAAAAACCACAGUUACAAAUGGUGGUUUUAUAAUUUUCUUUAAAACCACAGUUACGGACUGUGGUUUUACAAUUUUCACAAAUAUUUUUAAGGGGAACUCAUAUGUAAAAAAGUAUGGGAUUUUAGAACUUUGGUUUUCACAAAUUUUUUUGUUAUGAUUGUUUUUAAUAUAUAUAUAUAUAUAUAUAUAUAUAUUAUCUUUAUUUUUUCAUAUUUUCCUUGAAAUUUUGAGAAAAUAAUUUGGUCUACAUGCAUUCCCAUAAAAAUUUAUAUAUUUAUGGUAAAUAAAAUAUUUAUUUGUUUUACGAAUAUUUUCACAUAUGAACUAAAGAAAAUUAUUUAUUCAUAUUAUUUUUAAAUUUUAAAAUAACUAAAGAAAUUGUUUAUAUUAUUUUAAAAUUUUAUAUUUUCAUAUGAAAAUUAAUGCCAAUGAUUAUGAUUUUAGGUUAUUUCUUAUAAGUAUGAUUUGAACUUAUGUCUUAGUUAAAAUGUAUAAUUUUUUAAUUAUAUGAAAGAAAAAUAGGUAAUGGUUAUAAUAAUUUAUUUAGUUAGAAUUUCUUUCAUUUAGACUUUAGGAUGCAUUUGAGUUUUAUUUGUUUAAAUUAUCAAGGAAACAGGUGAAUAACAUAACAUUACUAAUUUGAAUUAACACUUUAUAUAACCUUAAAUGUAUAAACCAAAGUAUUAUAGUUCUACAAACAUGAAAAAAUAUCUCAAUGUGUCCCACAUGAUGGAAUCUUUCUCUUUCGUUGUGAACAUCUACGGUAGAUGGCCAUAUUUGUUGUAUCCAUCUGUGCUAUCUGAAAAGUCUCCAUCUUUAUAGACUGUGACACGUCAUCUACAUGAGCUAUCGAGUUAGAUGGAACUGAUGGAGGUAGAACUCGACGUACACGUGGAGCUUGAUGUCCUCUAGGUACCCGUACAUGUAAUCGCGUGGCAUGAGCUAUCCCCUGAAGAAAAGGUAGAGGUGUAAUGGACUCUGUAACAGGUGGAGGUGCAAUAGACUCUGUAACAAGUGGGGGUGCAAUAAACUCUGUAAUAGGUGCGGGUGCAUCCAAUGAUAUAGAUGGUUGAAUAGGGGUAAGGGUAGAUGGUAUGGUAGUCUUGGGUCGAGAUGAAUGGGCUGGUAUGGAUACAUCAGGGGGAGAGAGUGGCAACUCUAAUGACGCAGAUGGCUGAAAUAGAGGAAAGGUAGAUGUGACUGGUGGAUGUGAGGGUUGUACCAAAGUAGAUGCCAAAGGUACAUGUCGGUGACCAGCUUGACGUCCCCCGACCUCUAAUGGGUGGUACCCUAACAGGCGUAAUCAAUGAUGGUGGUCUAAUGGAUGGCUCAUGUGUCGAGUGUACGCGAUGGUCCUCUCCUAUAGCAUGUAAAACUUCAAUAGCAAUUCGGUGAGUUUCCUCCAAAUCAUUUGAAAUAGCCAUUUGCAAUACGACGGUGAUCUGUAUAAGAAAAUGAAACAUGAGGCAUUUGUACAUAAUUUAAGUUUAACAUUCAUUAAAAAAUGGUUUUGUAUCUCAAAUGUUCUCACCAAUAACUCAGUGGCAGAAGCUAUACUAUGGAACCUCAUAUGAUCUCUAUGGCAAACAGGUGCGGUCAGACGUCGCGUGAUACGUCCAUACCACUGCAUAUAUGGAUCAUAAAAAGCCAUGAUAGUAAUCGCAAGUGGUGCUGUCGCAAUACGCUUAGAAUGAGUAGCCCAAAUAGAAAUAUACUAAGCAUGGAAUGUGACCCAAUCAUACUGAUGUCGUCCUCGCCUAUCCACUAAAUGUAGCUCCAUAACUAUCAAACAAGGUGGAGGUAUCCCUUGUUGCAUACGAAAUUGGCGUAAAACUCGCUCUGGUCUAUGCCACUCGAUAAUAUCAAAGCAAAUUAGAGGCGACAUAGUUCGCCAAAUUUCUUCAUCAACCUAACAUAUAGCCGGAAGAUGUGCAAUCAAAUCUGUUGUAUAUGGUUCCCAUAAUACCUGUAAUUUAAAAAAAAAAAAAUUAGUCACAUUGGUGGAAAAUAUUGCAAAGGUAAUCUUACGCAUCUACACUUUACCUGAUCCUGUGUCUGGGCAUCCAAUUGAUCUUGAUAGAAUGUCAACACAUGUGGUGAUGGGUUAUGAGACCAAGAUAGGGGUACUCUCCACCUGUGGCCUAAUGGAUCGACUGGGAGUGCCUCAUUUGGCAAUAGAUGAUCAUGUAAACCAUCAACUACAUCAUCAUGUACAUGUGGGACUACUAUAAGCAUUGGAGGACAACCGAAAUCAGGUCGACCCACAUGAAGUCUCUCCCAU